AAAUCUGACCAACUAGAUAUUACGGGUCUAAAUAGCAUGAAACAACAAAAUCCAUUGUUUGUUGAUGUACUCUGGAUUUUUUUCCGAACAAGCAUGAGAACUGUGUAUCUUUAUAUUAAUCAGAAAAGGGGGCAAUAACUCUUCAAAACAUAAACAAUACACACACAGUUUCUAAGAAAUAUAUGUGCCUUUUUAUUUAUACAAUAAACAUGACCUUGGUCACAACUAUAAAAACUAGGGGCGGGCUUGGUUGGCUUCCAUUCCGGCGGGCUCUACGGCAAGUAGGUAAGCAAGAAGGCUUCCAGCCUGGUUGGGAGACAUGCCAUUGAACAUUAGAACUUCCAUCGUUGAAAAUUCAUUAGUCCCUAGGGCUUUCUCCGUUCUAAAUUAUAAACCAUUCUAAUUCUUUUAGAUACUAUGUGUCUAUGUAUCUAUCUAACCAUAAUGUAUAUCUUGAUGCAUAGCAAAAGCUCAUGUAUUUAGAAACUCUAGAAUGACUUAUAAUUUGGAACGGAUGGAGUAAUUUUUUGUUAUUGUACUGUUUCUUAUGUAUUUUUGGAUUAUUCCAUGAGUGAAAAUUUGCUAUUCUAUGGUAUAUUCUGAUGUGCAGUAGGGCAAUCCAUUAUUUGGUGAUGUAUUUUGUAUUCUUCAUUCAAAGAAAAUUAAUGAAUAAGCAGUGGUAUAUGUUUAUUGUUCCGGUAUAUGAAAAAAUGCAUUGUUUGGUGGUAUGUUUUUAUUAUUCCAGUAGGGAAAAAUUAAUUGUUCUUCGCUAUGGUUUGGAUUGUUCCGCUAGUGAAAAACUGUUUUGCUAUCAUAAUUUAACCUCAUUUAUAGGUAUAUGUUUAGUUUCUCCCGUGAAGGCGGCACCAGGUGGUGCUUUAAAAAAAAAAGAACUGAUGAACGCAAUGCAGCCGCAUAUCUCUGCUUGACUGCUUCUGUUUGAUGUGGACGCUGCGAGCUGCAUGUGGCCGACAAUCUGAGAUGGAAUGAACAGGCGGACGCUGCGAGCUGCAUGUCGACGAAAGCAGUCUACCUUAGGUAUACCCAUACGAAACUUGACGGUGACGCAAGACACGGACAAGGUUUUUAUCAAGGUUCGGCCGCCGUGUGGACGUAAUACCUACGUCCUGCAUCUGAUUGUAUUGAAUUGUGUUGAGAUAAUCUGUAAUAGGGGGUCCCUUGCCUCUCCUUAUAUAGUCCAGAGGGCAGGGUUACAGAUCUGAAAAAACUAUUUCUAGUCGGUUACAAUUGCCAUAGAUAGUACGAUAUCAAUUCCUAUUCUAACCAACCAGAAUCCUGCUUGAUCUCCACGUCUUGUUUCCUUGCAUGAAACUCCGAGCAGUUAGAUUAAGCCUCGUGGCCAAGUCUAGCCGUAAGGGUAUAGGGGUUUAUACCCCCACAGCUAGUCCCCGAGCACCAUGUAUUGUGAUGUAACAUGCCAUCUUGAGCUUCUUCGACCAGUGAGACUUGACGUCUUCAAUAAGCAGGAAAGUCGCCCAAGCAAUUGCAACGACAUUUCGACCAAUCUCGAAAACGAGUUGACCAGCAUCAAUCAUUGAAGAAGCCGGUUGUUCGAAGAAUACAUGGUGCUCUUGAGAAAAAAGAUUUCUUUCCUGGUGAAGUGUGCCCACUUUACUUUUCUGAAAAGUGCAGUUUUUCAAAAAGCGAGCAUAUUCACCGCUAGGUGAAGUGUGCCCACUUAGUCCCUGAGCCUGUUAGUAGGUGACGUAGACACGUGGUGCCAGGGUCUAGAAAGAAAAUUAUCUUUAAAUCUCUGAUACUAAGGUGCAUCGCUAGAUGCAUCGUACCGAUGUAGUCCCCGAGCUUGCUGGAAGGCGAAGUAUGAUUCUUGUAGCAAGGUCUAAAAAAUUAAAAUUAUUCAGUUUAAUUCAUAUGUAAUUGAGAAAAGCAGUCCCCAAGUUGCGGUCGAAGAAUGAUUGAAGCAAGUCCCCAAGUUGCAGGGUAGUCAGCACAGUCCCCGAGCACGGCAUAAAACAUGAUCAACCAGUCCCCGAGCAUGGUUGGGAACGUAAACGUGCUCGGUACAGUCCCCAGACUUUCAAACGAGUAUGCUAAUCGGCCAGCCUCUGAGCGUAUCACGCUCGGUGGUCGGUACAAUCAAUCGAGAUAUCAAAUUAGCACACUGAUCAACCAGUCCCCGAGCAUGCCAUGCUCGUUGGUCGGUGCGAUCAACCGAAUAGUCGAAUGAACAAACUGGUCGACCAGUCCCCGAGUAUGUCAUGCUCGGUGGUCGGUGCAGUCAAUCAAAUUGUCAAAUGAGCAGACUAGUUGACCAGUCUCCGAAUAUGUCAUGCUCGGUGGUCGGUGUAGUCAACAAGUAUGUCAUAUCCGUUCCACCAACAGACCCACUUCUCUUUUUGAAAAUAGCAUAUCGCCGUAUUAAUGCGAGAUGUGACAGAGCGUCCUGGCACAUUGUCAGACUGUUGCGUAAAAAGGCACGCCUGGUAACUGUGCAGCCGCUCUUUGCGCAGUCCAAGAAAAGAAAACCAUCAAUUAUGCAGAAAAGUCAUUAUAUUAACUGCGAUAAUUAUUGAAAACCGAAACGCCACGGCCGCCGCAAGAUCCGCCCACUUCCCCAUAACGCGGGAAGUGGUAGAGGUGGAGCCGCUGUUAUAAAAAGCUCGAUGCGGCGUCCAUACUCUUUACCUAGCCUUUGCCUACAAGCCUUCUACCCUUGCCAUUACUGCCUCCGCCUCCUUCCACACCCAUUCCAGUUCAAAGUUCUUUCUACGGCGUCAAUGGCGAAGAGCGACUCGAAGAAAAGGGCCGAGUUGAUGGCCAAGGAGUGGAAGAAGUCCCAGAGCAGCACGAGGUCCCUCAACGACCUCGUCGGAAUGGGUCUGCUACACAACCAGGAGCUCGGCGGCUGGAGGGCGCCAGAGGGGGAGAGCUACCCCGACCCCCGCGCCGAUGAGAUUGUUGUUUUUGAGGAUUUCUUCAAGAGGGGCUUUGGGAUUCCCGUCCAUCCUUUUCUGCAGGGCCUUCUUCUCUACUAUGAAAUCGGGAUCUGCAAUCUGCACCCGAACUCCAUUCUCCUCAUCUCUAUCUUCAUUCACUUGUGCGAAGCCUAUGUUGGAAUAGAGCCGCACUUCGACCUCUUCCGCUACCUUUUCUGUUUGCGGAAGAAAGGAGUAGUUGGAGGCUCCAAGAUUGCAGGUGGAGUAUACCUCAAUCUGCGCGACGGGAUGAAGAACUGGUACCUCAGCUGCCCAUGGAACACUUCCCUCACCGAAUGGUACAAGAAGUGGUUCUACAUCAGGGAAGAGCUGGGCAGCGCCAUGUUCAACGACGUGGGCUAUAUCCCCGAGAAGAGGGUCAGCUGGACAGAUCGUCCAGAGUACAACGGUCAAGUGGCAGAACUGAUGAGCCUGAUUGACUGGUCCCGCUUAGACGGGCCAAGAGUGGUCGGGAACUUCCUUGUACGACGAGUGAUGCCUUGCCAGAGGAGGGUGCACUCGGCGUAUGAGUAUGCGGGGAGUCAAGACCCGACCAGGAUGUGCCCGGAUGGUCUGGAGAAGACGGAGGUCCAGCAACUGAUGAACGAGUUGUUCAAAUUGUCGGAUGACAACUUCGUUCGAAGUGAUGAUCGGAUGCACGCCUUCAAGCUAGGACGACUAGCUCCUAAGGUAAACGAGCACUAUUAUUGAGUUGUAUCGCUAUGUGAAUACUGUUGUCUCUUGGUUUGAUGAAUUGACGUUGGUUUCAUUGCAGAUUGGAGACAUUGACCGGUGCUCGGUGUAUGUAUCACUGGCACCUGGUAUGGACCAGCCUGCUGGGGUGGACCCGACAGUAGACGAUGCUGCUAGGUGUCCCAAUACACCAGCAGUGAAGAAGAGCAAAACCGACCGGCGCCGACCACCGAGGACAGGGUGGUGGGGAAAAGGCCAAUGGCCGUAUAGCCAUCCCCUACGGAGGCACUGCCGGCGGAGACCAGCCAGGCUCCUAAGCAUCGUCGGCUCGUGAGGAUCGCCGACGACGAGGACGAAGAGGAGGAGGCUACGCCAUCUUUGGUCAGGAGACCGCGCAGUCGGCCUGACGUUGCGCCGAUCACCACUGGUCGGGAGACCAGUGAUCCUCUGGCCCCGCACGCCGAGUCGACGUGACUUGGGGGGGCAGAGGCAGCAGUGACGACUGGUAGGACCAGAAGGAGGUUCUUCGCAGCGACGCACAGGCGCUCCGACCUGUGAGUUCUACAACCUACCUUCUACGCUUCCUCCUUGUUGUUGUUUUGUUUUUUUGUUGCGAGUUGUGACGUCAGCAUGAUAUCUUCUGUUGCUAGUGCAGCGUCGGAUGUUGAUCCGGGCAACGUCGCCGGCCAGAGAACGACCGAGCCGGCGGUUGUCGUUGAAAACACCGCCGAGCAGACUACCCAGAAGCCAAUCGAGGAGCAGCCCGCGGUUGUGACUGCGGCUGAGACUGCCGAGGAGGAUCCGGCUCAGGCGAGGACCGGGGCGAGCACCCAGACAAGGGACGAUGAGGCUGCGAGGACGCCUCCCCCGAGUAGUGUCGCGGAGGAGGAAGACAGAGCCCCGACUUCCCUGCUAGCUGGAGAUAGGAGGGCCCUGACUCCACCCCGAGCAGAAGCUUCUUCACCAAAGGGCUCCCCUAGACAGGGUAAGGGUCCAGUGAUACCCGUGACCACGGCUGGGGGUAGCACGGAGGGCGGGGAGGCCUAGACAACCUCCAACGAUGAAGUGGAAGAGAUCCAGGGGCACCCCCAUGAUGGUCGCCAACACGUGUUCAUGUGGCACCAACAUGUGGACCACUUCAUCGGCCACGAAGAGCUUGCCGAGACCGAGGAGGCGGCAAGGGUAGAGCGCGCUGCCAAGCGGCUCGUUGAUGCAGUCAAGGUAGGUGGUCUUGUGUUUCGCCAAAAUAUGUAUAUAUUGUUGCUUGUUUACUUCACAAUACGUGUAAUUCUUGCAGGGCACAAUGAAAACGGCGAAGUACCGAAAAAGGUGCUUCGACCAAAUUGAAGGGAUCGUGGCCGAGAAUAAGGCCCUGACCGUGGAGGUGGACCGCCUUCGGUCGGAGGUCGAGGAGAAGGCGGCCGAGAAGGCAGCUCAGGAAGAGCGCCUGCUCGAUCUUAAUCGGCGACUAGCCGACAAGGAGCAUGCCGGUGCGCUGGAGGCCAGGCGCCAGGCUGGCGAGGAGCUAAAAAACAAGAGUCGAGAGUUGGCUGGUAAGAGCCGUUUCACCCUUUUUGAUUACACAACGUUCCUUUUCUCGUGUUUAUACUGACUUCUUGCUUGGUUUUCUGUCAUAGUGCUUAAAGUCAAUACUAAGAAGCACCUCGACGAGCUGGUCAAGGACCGGGACUCCUGGAAGACCAACUGUAUCAAGAUCUGGAAAGGAGUGGCCCCGGUUCUCGACUUGAUCAGCCCCGAGCUCCACGAAGACCAGCCCCGCGCAUCGAGGCUGACCUCGGUCGAGAAGGCGCAACAGGCGUGGGGCUGGCUUCAGCAGUUUGUCAAGGACAUCGGGGAGUUUGCCGGGGCGCACGUCCUCAGCAUGGUACGUGCCCACUACCCCUGGUUGACUUGUCCCGGCUGGAGAGGGGGUAUCCCAAGGAGGUUGGUCCGCAGGAGGCAGAUGACCUUUGUGUCGGCCUGCUCGACUUGUCGUCGACAGUGAUCAGCGACAUAAACCUCUGUGGGACGUCAACUCCCCUCAACCAACCCGGAUCAGACAGGUCAGCUAGGGAGUUGUCGGGGGCGUCCAUUGCAGGAGAUGGGCGGUCGACGCCUACGGUCUUGUCCAGCCAGACGCCGGUGGCCCCGAACCCUUCGACUGGACAGCAGAGCCGUGCGGGUGAUCAGCCCGAGCAGUAGGCUUAUAAGGUAGUCUGUAGGAGUAGACUAGAGACCGCCCAGAGGGGUGUUUAUUGUAAACUUUGUGUAUAAAGUUUGUAAUAAAGCUUAAUUUAUCGUAACCAUGGUUUUGAGCGCUGUAAUAUUGUUUGAGUGAUGUAUCACUGAGUCAAGUUGACGGUCUUUGAGGACCUUUGUCCUUGAAAGUAAUUUGUAGUACUUGUCGAAUGUUCUGCGUAUGAAAAAAGUAUAUAGCAAAAAAGAUAGGUUUAAUUAUUAUUCAUCAUAAAGGAUUUACAAAUGAAAUGUACUAGAACUUAGGGAUAGAAACGGCGUAAUUUGUCUAUGUGCUAGGAGUUGGGCAAGCGUGUUCCGUCUAGGUACGCCAGUCUGUAAGAUGUAGGGCGUGUGACUUCGGCGACCACGAAGGGUCCUUCCCAAGGUGUAGAUAACUUGUGCAUUCCUUCUUGGCUUGUUUUCCAUUUGAGUACCAGAUCACCGACCACGAAGGAGCGGUCUUUGACGUUCCUGUUGUGGUUCCGCCUAAUCGCUGUUCGAAGGCAAGAGAUUAGGCGCUUUUCUUCUGUGCAGUUGAUUUCGAGUUCUGUGGCGAGGUCGGCCGAAGACUGGUCGAAAUGUUCGACUCUUGGAGACCCAAAGACCACGUCCGAAGGGAGCACUGCUUCGGUGCCGUAAACCACGAAGUAGGGCGAUGCACCCGUGUUGCGACUAGCCUGUGUUCGGAGACCCCAAACCACAGCCGGUAACUCUUUCAUCCAUCGUCCUGGUGCUCUGCCGUUUUCAGUAUACAUCCUUUUCUUCAAAGCAUCGAUAAUCAUUCCGUUUGCUCGCUCCACGUGACCGUUGGCCCGUGGGUGGGCUACCGACACGUACUUUAUGACCAUGCUUCUGUCAUCGCAGAAGUCCCAUAAUGUAGUGCCGGUGAACUGAGUGCCCAGAUCAGUGAUUAUGCUGUUGGGGACCUCGAAUCUAUGUAUGAUUUGAUUGAGGAACUCCACGGCCUUCUCGGAAGUUGCUUUGACCAGUGGCAUGUACUCGAUCCAUUUCGAGAAUUUGUCGAUUAGUACGAAGACAAAUUUGAAAUUGCCGGGGGCCGGCUUGAAUGGUCCGAUCAUGUCGAGGCCCCAACAGGCGAACGGCCAGGACGACGGAAUCGUCUGAAUCUCGUGAGCGGGUACGUGGGUCCGCUUGGCGAAAAACUGGCAUCCUUCACAGUGUCGGACCAGUUUCUCGGCGUCGGCGACUGCGGUUGGCCAGUAAAAACCUGCUCGGAAAGCCUUCCCGACCAGUGUUCUGGAAGCGGCGUGGUUACCACAGGACCCGGCGUGUAUGUCAUCUAGGAGCUUGACGCCAUCAUCUUGGGAUAUGCAUUUCAGCAAUACUUCGAAACUUACGUUCUUAUACAUAUGUUUGCCGCCGACCAGUAUGUAAUUCUUAGAUCGCCGAAUAAGGCGCUCGUUCUCCGUUUUAUCUUGAAAUCCCGAACCGUCGGAUAGAUACUGGAUGAAGGGAGUGCGCCAGUCGUGGCUGCUGGUUGCCGGAGUGCUAUCGUCUAUGUGCAUUGCCUCAUUGGGUUGCUUGUCGACCAGACCGAGGAGGCGGCAAGGGUAGAGCGCGCUGCCAAGCGGCUCGUUGAUGAAGUCAAGGUAGGUGGUCUUGUGUUUCGCCAAAAUAUGUAUAUAUUGUUGCUUGCUUACUUCACAACACGUGUAAUUCUUGCAGGGCGCAAUGAAAACGGUGAAGUAUCGAAAAAGGUGCUUCGACCAAAUUGAAGGGAUCGUGGCCGAGAAUAAGGCCCUGACCGCGGAGGUGGACCGCCUUCGGUCGGAGGUCGAGGAGAAGGCGGCCGAGAAGGCAGCUCAGGAAGAGCGCCUGCUCGAUCUUAAUCGGCGACUAGCCGACAAGGAUCGGGAGAAGAAAGGUAAGUCGUGCGUUCCGAGCAGUUGUAUUUAACUACGUGGUCGGGUUUUUGACCAGCGAUUAUUUCUGCAGAUCUGGAGGAGGAGAUUAAUCGCCUCCUUGGGGAAAGGGAAUAGCUCGACCAGGAGCGUGCCGGUGCGCUGGAGGCCGGGCUCCAGGCUAGCGAGGAGCUAAAAAACAAGAGUCGAGAGUUGGCUGGUAAGAGCCGUUUCGCCCUUUUUGAUUACACAACGUUCCUUUUCUCGUGUUUAUACUAACUUCUUGCUUGGUUUUCUAUUAUAGUGCUUAAAGUCAAUACUAAGAAGCACCUCGACGAGCUGGUCAAGGACCGGGACUCCUGGAAGACCAACUGUAUCAAGAUCUAGAAAGGAGUGGCCCCGGUUCUCGACUUGAUCAGCCCCGAGCUCCCCGAAGACCAGCCCCGCGCAUCGAGGCUGACCCCGGUCGAGAAGGCGCAACAGGUGUGGGGCUGGCUUCAGCAGUUUGUCAAGGACGCCGGGGAGUUUGCCGAGGCGCACGUCCUCAGCAUGGUACGUGCCCACUACCCCUGGUCGACUUGUCCCGGCUGGAGAGGGGGUAUCCCAAGGAGGUUGGUCCGCAGGAGGUAGAUGACCUUCGUGUCGGCCUGCUCGACUUGUUGUCGACAGUGAUCGGUGACAUAAACCUCUAUGGGACGUCAACUCCCCUCAACCAACUCGGAUCAGACAGGUCAGCUAGGGAGUUGUCGGGGGCGUCCAUUGCAGGAGAUGGGCGGUCGACGCCUGCGGUCUCGUCCAGCCAGACGCCGGUGGCCCCGACCCCUUCGACUGGACAAUAGAGCCGUGCGGGUGAUCAACCCGAGCAGUAGGCUUGUAAGGUAGUCUGAAGGAGUAGACUAGAGACCGCCCAGAGGGGUGUUUAUUGUAAACUUUGUGUAUAAAGUUUGUAAUAAAGCUUAAUUUAUCGUAACCAUGGUUUUGAGCGCUGUAAUAUUGUUUGAGUGAUGUAUCACUGAGUCAAGUUGACGGUGUUUGAGGACCUUUGUCCUUGAAAGUAAUUUGUAGUACUUGUCGAAUGUUCUGCGUAUGAAAAAAGUAUAUAGCAAAAAAGACAGGUUUAAUUAUUAUUCGUCAUAAAGGAUUUACAAAUGAAAUGUACUAGAACUUAGGGAUCGAAAUGGCGUAAUUUGUCUAUGUGCUAUGAGUUGGGCAAGCGUGUUCCGUCUAGGUACGCCAGUCUGUAAGAUGUAGGGCGUGUGACUUCGGCGACCACGAAGGGUCCUUCCCAAGGUGUAGAUAACUUGUGCAUUCCUUCUUGGCUUGUUUUCCAUUUGAGUACCAGAUCACCGACCACGAAGGAGCGGUCUUUGACGUUCCUGUUGUGGUUCCGCCUAAUCGCUGUUCGAAGGCACGAGAUUAGGCGCUUUUCUUCUGUGCAGUUGAUUUCGAGUUCUCUGGCGAGGUCGGCCGAAGACUGGUCGAAAUGUUCGACUCUUGGAGACCCAAAGACCACGUCCGAAGGGAGCACUGCUUCGGUGCCGUAAACCAUGAAGUAGGGUGAUGCACCCGUAUUGCGACUAGCCUGUGUUCGGAGACCCCAAACCACAGCUGGUAACUCUUUCAUCCAUCGUCUUGGUGCUCUGUUGUUUUCAGUAUACAACCUUUUCUUCAAAGCAUCGAUAAUCAUUCCGUUUGCUCGCUCUACUUGACCGUUGGCCCGUGGGUGGGCUACCGACACGUACUUUAUGACUAUGCUUCUGUCAUCGCAGAAGUCCCAUAAUGUAGUGCCGGUGAACUGAGUGCCCAGAUCAGUGAUUAUGCUAUUGGGGACCCCGAUUCUAUGUAUGAUUUGAUUGAGGAACUCCACGGCCUUCUCGGAAGUUGCUUUGACCAGUGGCAUGUACUCGAUCCAUUUCGAGAAUUUGUCGAUUAGUACGAAGACAAAUUUGAAAUUGUCGGGGGGCGGCUUGAAUGGUCCGAUCAUGUCGAGGCCCCAACAGGCGAACGGCCAGGACGACGGAAUCGUUUGAAUCUCGUGAGCGGGUAUGUGGGUCCGCUUGGCGAAAAACUUGCAUCCUUCAUAGUGUCGGACCAGUUUCUCGGCGUCGGCGACUGCGGUUGGCCAGUAAAAACCUGCUCGGAAAGCCUUCCCGACCAGUGUUCUGGAAGCGGCGUGGUUACCACAGGACUCGGCGUGUAUGUCAUCCAGGAGCUUAAUGCCAUCAUCUUGGGAUAUGCAUUUCAGCAAUACUUCGAAACUUGCGUUCUUAUACAUAAGUUUGCCGCCGACCAGUAUGUAAUUCUUAGAUCGCCGAAUAAAGCGCUCGUUCUCCGUUUUAUCUUGAAAUCCCGAACCGUCAGAUAGAUAUUGGAUGAAGGGAGUGCGCCAGUCGUGGCUGCUGGUUGCCGGAGUGCUAUCGUCUAUGUGCAUUGCCUCAUUGGGUUGCUUGUCGACCAGACUGAGGAGGCGGCAAGGGUAGAGCGCGCUGCCAAGCGGCUCAUUGAUGAAGUCAAGGUAGGUGGUCUUGUGUUUCGCCAAAAUAUGUAUAUAUUGUUGCUUGUUUACUUCACAAUACGUGUAAUUCUUGUAGGGCACAAUGAAAAUGGCGAAGUACCGAAAAAGGUGCUUCGACCAAAUUGAAGGGAUCGUGGCCGAGAAUAUGGCCCUGACCGCGGAGGUGGACCGCCUUCGGUCGGAGGUCGAGGAGAAGGCGGCCGAGAAGGCAGCUCAGGAAGAGCGCCUGCUCAAUCUUAAUCGGCGACUAGCCGACAAGGAUCGGGAGAAGAAAGGUAAGUCGUGCAUUCCGAGCAGUUGUAUUUAACUGCAUGGUCGGGUUUUUGACCAGCGAUUAUUUCUGCAGAUCUGUUGGAGGAGAUUAAUCGCUUCCGAGGGGAAAGGGAACAGCUCGACCAGGAGCGUGCCGGUGUGCUGGAGGCCUGGCGCCAGGCUGGUGAGGAGCUAAAAAACAAGAGUUGAGAGUUGGCUGGUAAGAGCCGUUUCGCCCUUCUUGAUUACACAACUGUUGGGUAUUUUAAACGCAAACAGAAAAAUCCGCAAGCGCACGGAUACCGAUGUAGCUUUCACCCGGGAGUAUUCCAGAGUAUCGAUUUUCCACAGAGAACGUGAGUGUACUAAUUAAGAUCCAAGAUCGCCCAAGGAUAACUAUAUAAUUAUUUUUGGUAGGAAGAGAGGAAGUUUCCUGAGAGUUCUCUAGUUGAUGUAAGAAUCAAGAAUUACUUCAAGAUUAUUUAUUUCGGGACAUCAGAACACUAACCACAGAAAGAGAUGAGAAGGGGGCUAGGAAGCUCUGACUACGGUCCUACAAACACCGAUCCGAACGAGGUGGAAUACGUCGACCGUUAGGGCUGUCACUACCCUAGGGCUACCACAACAAUCCGCAGGAUUGGGUGCAAUUCCAGGUAAUUGCAAGACUAAACACCACGUCUAAUCUAUUAAUUACUACUCUAAUGUUGCAAAGAUUAGAGCACUUGAUGCAAGCGGGAAUCCAAUAAAUAACUUGAAUGUAAAUAAAAGUAAUUAAAGAACUCAGGAUUAUGAAUGGAAGAACCUGGAGAACGAUGAAGAACGAACUAGUUGCUGCAAAAGUACAAUGUUGAGGAAGAUCCGACAGAUCCGGCUCCUCCUCCGCUCUCCUCUUCUCUCUCCCUAUUUUCUAGAUUACAACUAGAACUAGAACUAGAGGAACUAGAACUAGAACUAGAUGAACUAGAACUAGAUCUAGAUGAACUAGAGGUAGAACUAGAAGAACUAGAGGGAUCCUCUCUACUUGGAUGAAGAAUUGAAACCCUAGCUUUGAUUCUGUAGAAGAGGUAUCCUCCAGGGGCUGGUGGGGGUCUGCUUAUAUAGUCUAGGAAGAGUACCCCCAAGAAAUCUAGGAAGAGUAGCCCCCAAGAAAUCUAGGAAGAGUAGCUCCCAAGGAAUUUCCACGUUAUUCUCCACCAUCCGAUCAAACCGACCUUCAUCGUGUUAUUUUCAUCGAUCCUUAGAGUCGGUGGAGCAUAAUCCCCGAGACUCGUGCUAAUUGGCCAGCAGAGGAGGGCGGGCGCCCAGGGGGGUAGGGCUGGCGCCCUGCUUCCGGGCCCGCUCGGCCUCCCGUUCGUUCCUGUGGCUUCUGGAGUCUUCUAGAUGGUAGAAAAUUGUGCGACAUGUUAAUACCUCUAUGUAAACCCGACGUGUGGGCCUUUCCUCCAAAUUUCCUGAUAACCCCCUGCAGAAAUAGACAAACACCAAAACUCGUGGAAUUCUAUCAGAUAAAACCCUAAGUCUAGGUGUUGGUUGCAUUUGGAUCCUUUUCCAUGAUUAGUUGAUGGUUAAAUGUGAGCAUUAAGGACCGUCAACAAGCUCCCCCAAGCUUAACCUUUGCUCGUCCCUGAGCAAAGCUAACAAGAAAAUAGGGGUUACUUUUAUGCCUCUUACUACAGGGUUUUUAAGUUAUCACUAAGGUCUUAAGUGAUUGAAAAACAGAAUGAUCAAGUCAAGCACUAUGUCUCAAGUUCUUCUGUCUUACCUUUGUUCUGGAGUUUUUUUUUAUAAGUCUGCAAAAUGAAACUGAGGUAUUGCCUUCUUCUCGAAAGAUAUAUAAGUAGAGCUGUGAAAGUUUUAGCAUACUUACUUUGCAUUUUGCUAUGUCAACGCUCGGAGUAAGGGAGAGGAAUGUCAUACUCCUAGAUCAAGACCUUUGACCUUUUUGAGAAGUUUGACAUCUCUUACUGGCAUAUUGCUUAUUAGAGGGACCAUGGGCUAUCAUUUUUUUUCUUUUUUUUUCUUUUUUUUUCAGUUUCUCUUUUUUUUUUAAGUGGGCAGCAAGUACCCCUAAUUCUACUGUCGGACACAUGUCUAUUUUUUUCACUCAGGUGGGUAUCUUUGUACCCCUAAUACUACUUCGGACAUUUGUCCAUUUUUACCUCUCGUCUCACUCUCUCUUUUUUUUUCGAAUCAAAUUUUUGCAUUUUUUUUAUUUCCGAAUACUAGUAAAUAAAACUCUAGGUAUUAUGAUCUAUAUAUAUAUGGCGGGACGUUACAGGGACUCCUGGAAGACCAACUGUAUCAAAAUCUGGAAAGGAGUGGCCCCGGUUCUCGACUUGAUCAGCCCCGAGCUCCCCGAAGACCAGCCCCGCGCAUCGAGGCUGACCCCGGUCGAGAAGGCGCAACAGGCGUGGGGUUGGCUUCAGCAGUUUGUCAAGGACGCCGGGGAGUUUGCCGGGGCGCACGUCCUCAUCAUGGUACGUGCCCACUACCCCCUGGUCGACUUGUCCCGGCUGGAGAUGGGGUAUCCCAAGGAGGUUGGUCCGCAGGAGGUAGAUGACCUUCGUGUCGGUCUGCUCGACCGGUCGUCUCAACUCCCCUCAACCAACCCGGAUCAGACAGGUCAGCCAGGGAGUUGUCGAGGGCGUCCAAUGCAGGAGAUGGGCGUUCGACGCCUGCUGUCUCGACCAGCCAGACGCCGGUGGCCCCGACCCCUUCGACUAGACAGCAGAGCCGUGCGGGUGAUCAGCCCGAGCAGUAGGCUUGUAAGGUAGUCUGUAGGAGUAGACUAGAGACCGCCCAGAUGGGUGUUUAUUGUAAACUUUGUGUAUAAAGUUUGUAAUAAAGCUUAAUUUAUCAUAACCAUGGUUUUGAACGCUGUAAUAUUGUUUGAGUGAUGUAUCACUGAGUCAAGUUGACGGUCUUUGAGGACCUUUGUCCUUGAAAGUAAUUUGUAGUACUUGUCGAAUGUUCUGCGUAUGAAAAAAGUAUAUAGCAAAAAAGACAGGUUUAAUUAUUACUCUUCAUAAAGGAUUUACAAAUGAAAUGUACUAGAACUUAGGGAUAGAAACGGCGCAAUUUGUCUAUGUGCCAGGAGUUGGGCAAGCGUGUUCCGUCUGGGUACACCAGUCUGUAAGAUGUAGGGCGUGUGACUUCGGCGACCACGAAGGGUCCUUCCCAAGGUGCAGAUAACUUGUACAUUCCUUCCUAGCUUGUUUUCCAUUUGAGUACCAGAUCACCGACCACGAAGGAGCGGUCUUUGACGUUCCUGUUGUGGUACCGCCUAAUAGCUUCGAGAUACUUCGCUGUUCGAAGGCACGAGAUUAGGCGCUUUUCUUCUGUGCAGUUGAUUUCGAGUUCUCUGGCGAGGUCGGCCGAAGACUGGUCGAAAUGUUCGACUCUUGGAGACUCAAAGACCACGUCCGAAGGGAGCACUGCUUCGGUGCCGUAAACCAUGAAGUAGGGCGAUGCACCCGUGUUGCGACUAGCCUGUGUUCGGAGACCCCAAACCACAGCCGGUAACUCUUUCAUCCAUCGUCCUGGUGCUCUGUCGUUUUCAGCAUACAUCCUUUUCUUCAAAGCAUCGAUAAUCAUUCCGUUUGCUCACUCCACUUGACCGUUGGCCUGUGGGUGGGCUACCGACACGUACUUUAUGACUAUGCUUCUGUCAUCGCAGAAGUCCCAGAAUGUAGUGUCGGUGAACUGAGUGCUCAGAUCAGUGAUUAUGUUGUUGGGGACCCUGAAUCUAUGUAUGAUUUGAUUGAGGAACUCCACGGCCUUCUCAGAAGUUGCUUUGACUAGUGGCAUGUACUCAAUCCAUUUCGAGAAUUUGUCGAUUAGUACGAAGACAAAAUUGAAAUUACCGGGGGCCGGCUUGAAUGGUCCGAUCAUGUCGAGGCCCCAACAGGCGAACGGCCAGGACGACAGAAUCGUCUGAAUCUCGUGAGCGGGUACGUGGGUCCGCUUGGCGAAAAACUGGCAUCCUUCACAGUGUUGGACCAGUUUCUCGGCCUCGGCGACUGCGGUUGGCAAGUAAAAACCUGCUCGGAAAGCCUUCCCUACCAGUGUUCUGGAAGCGGCGUGGUUACCACAGGACCCGGCGUGUAUGUCAUCUAGGAGCUUGACGCCAUCAUCUUGGGAUAUGCAUUUCAGCAAUACUUCGAAACUUGCGUUUUUAUACAUAAGUUUGCCGCCGACCAGUAUGUAAUUCUUAGAUCGCCGAAUAAGGCGCUCGUUCUCCAUUUUAUCUUGAAAUCCCGAACCGUCGGAUAGAUACUGGAUGAAGGGAGUGCGCCAGUCGUGGCUGCUGGUUGCCGGAGUGCUAUCGUCUAUGUGCAUUGCCUCAUUGGGUUGCUUGUCAACUAGGUCUGUACUGACACUUGGCGUGUGAAUAUCUUGGACGAAAACACCUUGCGGGAUCUGAGCCCGGGAUGAUCCUAUCUUUGACAACGCAUCUGCUGCCUGAUUUCUGUCUCGGACGACGUGGAUGUAUUCUAUGCCAUAAAAAUUGGAUUCCCAUUUCCGGAUUUCUUUGCAGUAGAGGUCCAUCUUCUCGUGAGUUGUGUCCCAUUCCUUAUUUAACUGGUUGAUGACCAAGGCAGAGUCACCGUGGACAUAAAGACGUUUGACUCCCAAUUCGACAGCCAGCCAGAUGCCAUGCAAGCAUGCUUCGUAUUCGGUGACGUUGUUACAUGCCGGAAAGAGGAUCCUAAGGACGUAGCGGAGUUUGUCCUUGUUUGGCGAUACGAAAAGUAUUCCGGCGCCGGCGCCAUUGGUGUUUAGGGACCCGUCGAAGAACAUUGACCAGUGGUCGGAGGCGUCCGGAGGGGAGGGGCUCGUUGAGGUCCGUCCAUUCCGUGAUGAAGUCGACCAGGGCCUAGGACUUGACGGUAGUGCAACUCUAGAAAUCCAGGGAGAUUGGGCAUAAUUCCAUUGCCCAUUUUACAAUUCUGCCGUUGGCGUCCUUGUUGCGCAAAAUGUCCCCUAGAGGAAAACUGGUAGUUACUAAAACACGAUGACCGUCGAAGUAAUGCUUCAGCUUCCUUGAGGUUAUUAGGAUGGCGUAGAGUAGCUUUUGUAUCUGAGGAUACCUGGUCUUGGAUUCGUUUAGGACUUCGCUUACGAGCCUCUGGACUUUGUAGACGUGGCCUGGUUCGUCCCGCUCGAGCACCAUUGCCGUGGAGACAACCCGAUCGGUUGCUGCUAUGUAAAGGAGCAGGUCCUCGUCAGGUUGAGGUGCGGUGAGGACGGGUGGUGAGGUGAGGAAAGUUUUGAGCUGGGUGAACACAGCGUUAGCUUCCUCUGUCCAGGAGAAUUUUUCCGAUGCCUUUAGAAGUUUAAAAAAGGGAAGGCCUUUUUCCCCCAGCCUGGAGAUAAACCGGCUGAGAGCGGCCAUGCAUCCGGUGAGCUUUUCAAUGUCCUUGACGUUUUUGGGUGGUCGCAUAUCGAGCACCGCCUUAACUUUUGAAGGAUUUGGCCGUAUGCCAUCGCGGCUGACGACGUUGCCGAGCAGUAGACUAGAGGGGACCCCAAAGAUACACUUUUUGGGAUUGAGCAUCCACUUGUAUUUAUUUAGCACCUUAAAAGUGCGAUCCAAGUUGUCGAUCAGGGUGUUUGCGUCCUGGUUUUGACGACAACGUCAUCAACGUAAGCCUCGACAAGGUCGUCACGUAUCUCGUCGCGGAGGCAUUGCUGAAUAGCGCAUUGAUAGGUGGCCCCAGCGUUUUUCAGUCCAAAGGACAUAGUGGUGUAAUAGUAUGCGCCAAAAGGAGUAAUGAAGGAAGUUUCAAUCUGGUCAUCUUCCUUUAGCGAGAUCUGGUGAUAACCAGAGUAACAGUCGAGAAAAGAAAGGAGUUCGCAUCCGGCCGUUGAAUCGAGCACCUUGUCGAUACGGGGAAGACCGAAAGGAUCUUUAGGAUAGUGUUUAUUGAGAUCGGUGUAAUCAACGCACAUUCUCCAUUCAUUAUUUUUUUUUCUUACAAGAACUGGAUUGUCGAGCCAAUCGGGAUGAUACACUUCUUUAAUAAAUCUGGUUGCUAGAAGCCGUGUUAUUUCUGUCCUAAUAGCCUCCUUUUUGUCACGAGCGAACCGUCGAAGUUUCUGCUUGAUAGGUCUUGCGGUCUUCGAGACGUUUAAGGAGUGCUCGAUCAGGUUUCGUGGGACGCCGGGCAUGUCCACGGGUUUCCAUGCGAAGAUGCUUACGUUGUCCCUUAGAAACCUGAUGAGCGCGUCUUCCUAUUUGGGGUCCAAGUUGGCCCCGAUAAGAGCCGUCUUCUCGAAGCUGCGUCGACCAGCUGCACUUCCUUGUGCUCUUUGGAUUUUGAGUUUUUCCUUGGAGUCUCUUGCUCGGGUAGUUGGAGCUGAUCGGGUGGAACUUGCGUGGCUUGAGCUACGGUUUCUGCCAUGCGAAUCGAGAGAUCGAUUGCCUCGGUGAUCUUGAAGCUUUCCUCUUCGCAAGUGUAUGCAGUGUAGACGUUGCCUCUGACGGUUAGGACACCCUUCUCUGUUGGCAUCUUGAGGACCAGGUAUGAAUAGUGCGGAACUGCCAUGAACUUGGUCACCGAUGGGCGGCCUAGAAUUGCAUGAUAGGUGCCGUCGAAGUUGGCGACCACAAAGUUGACGAACUCUAUGUGGAAAUGGUCGGGUGUUCCAAACUCGACAGGCAGCGUUAUCUGCCCGAGGGGUAUUAAACUUUGACCUGGCAGGACGCUCCAGAACUGAGCAUCAUACGGCUUUAGUUGUGCCGGGGUUAUCUUGAGAGCAGGCAGGCUAUUGCGGAAAAGAAUAUCAAUGGAGCUGCCCCCGUCGACAAGCACGUGCACGAAUCUGACGCUGUUGAUGCAAGGGUCCAGGAUCAGAGGAAAAUGCCCUAGCUCUGGGAUUGCGGCCCACUGGUCCUGCCUGUUGAAGGAGAUCUCUCUAUGCGACCAGGGGGGAACUUUGGGUCAGCGAUCGGACCAUCCGUGCUGUCCACAUUGAGGCAGGCUCUCUUCAGGAGCUUUCUUUCUUGUUUGGAUUCGAUGGAAACUUUGCCUCCAAAGAUGGAAUGUACCACGACGAUGGGGCUGACAUACUGGUGCCGUGGGUCCCUAUCCUGGUCGUCGUCUUCGUCUUCGUGCCUAUCUUGUUUCCCGUUUUUCUUAACAGAGUCUCCCUGAGCGGCUCGCUGAGUAUAGAUGUUUUUUAGGACGCGACAUUCUUCCAUCGUAUGGUUGGACUUGGGAUGGAGUUGGCAUGGUCCUUUGAGUGUCUUGUUGUAGUCCUCCUGAUAAUCUCGCCGUCCAUUGGAGCGCUUGACUGUGUUCACCUCGUGGUCGUUGUCACGAGGUCGCUUGCCUCUGAAAUCGUCGCGGUUGUCGCGUCGCCUAUCCCAACCUUCUCGGUGGUCGCGGUUGUCACCGCGGCGAGGGUUCCAGUUGUCGAAGCGUCCACGACUGUCGUCUCGUCUGGGAGGCUGGUCGGCGCCUCUCGCAUCUUCUCGGAUGAGUUUUUCUACGUCAUCGGCAUCAGCGUAGUUUUUUGCCGUGGCGAGGAGCUCGGCGACCGUGGUCAGCCUUUUGCGCAGUAGCUUACUCCUUAGUGCUUCAUGGAAGCAUAGACCUUUGAUGAAGGCUAAUAUGGCCUCGUCGUGAGAAAUUUUUGGAAUCUUAAGGCGCAUAUCCGAGAAUCGUCGGAUGUAAUCGUGCAAGGGCUCGUUCUUCCUGUCCCUUAUUCUCUCGAGAUCGUAUUUGUUUCCAGGCUGCUCGCAGGUAGCGAUGAAAUUGUCAAUAAACGCCUGGCGCAGUUCUUCCCAGGAGUCAAAGGAGUCCUCGGGCAUGCCGAGGAGCCACCGAUGGCCAGCUUGGUCAAGGACGACUCGGAAGUAAUUUGUCAUGACGUGCUUGUCUCCUGUAGCUGAUCGGACUACGAUCUCGUAGAGAGUGAUCCAGUUUUUAGGGUUCUCCUUGCCAUCAUAUUUUUUAAGCUUCUCGAGCUUAAAGUUGCGGGGCCAUACGACUUGGCGAAGGUGUGAAGAGAACUGUCUUAAGCCGGGGGGUCCGUGUGCUGCAUCGUACUCAAUGCGUCGCAGGUUUUCGUGUACCGCUCUUUCCGUGCCGUGCCUGUUGAUGCGGUCGCGGGCAUCCUGUUGAUGCAAAAACGGAUCUGCAAACACACAGGGCUAAUACCUGAUUCAAACGUUAAGGCGUGCCAGCCGAUUUGACCUUACUAUCGGCAAAGGUGAUAACUCGAAUACUUUGGUCCCGACAACAGCGAUGCGCCCGGAUGUCACGGCCAAGAGGUAUUCACGCGGAACUCGAGAAUACGCCGAGCUUAAGUCGACGGACUCCUAAGAACUCGUAAAAAAAGGAAAAUAUGACGAAGUCGUCGAAAAGUAGAUGCUGGAAUAUGAGUAAAAAACUUGUGUUUGAUUGAUUGACAUAUAUCUCAUUACAAGGCCCUAGGGUCUACAUUUAUACCCUGCUCAAAGAGCUACAAUCAGACACGACUAGGACUCAAAUUCCAAAUUAAACAGAAUCCGUAUACAAAACGAAUUUAAAUAUCUAUGGAAAACAUAAAACUAUCCUCCCGUGACAAACCGGGACACCACCAUAGAUCAAUCGGCAACCUUCACGUUCUCCUUCCGAGUCAUCGGCAGACUUCUCACCAUAGCCAUCGGCAAAGACUAACGCUGACCAUCGGCACGAACGCGUCACCACUUCUGGACUUAGUCACAUUCAGCUGUCUCUUCAUCGGCAACCACCCUCAUCGGCAACUCCCCUGCAGACCAGUUACUGUUGCCCCAUCUUGCCGAUCUAUACUUUACCGAUCCCUGGGUACGUGUCCAAAAACGGUGUCAACACAUGCCCCCCAAUUUUUUAGUAUAAAAUCAUUAAUGCUCCGAAAUUCUCUGCAGUAAUGAUGUCUUUCCGCAAUUAAUUCUCUCAAUUUGGUAACCGACCGUUGAAGUUGAACAACCCUGGCCCGAUUCUUCAGCAGAUUCCUCGAAUUCCUCAACCUCCCGAACUGGACAUCUCCACUUUAUUCGCCCAUCGGCAAUAUUACCGUUAGAGGGAGCUGCCGAUGGACCGACCAGGAGAUCUUGCACAGUGAAAUAUCUCCAAAACCACAACCGCCUGCUGUCAAAUCACCUGUGCAAUCCCUUGAUUAUCGUGCGAACAAUUACCAUAUCCAUCUGAACACCCUCGGAUUUUACGGAUGCGGCAAAGAGAUAAGUUAGAUUUGCCCCUGCCCGUUUUGUCCUAUAAAUACUUCCUUCUCGGGUACUCCUUCUCCAUCUUGUCAUUCUAUAGCCCAAAACUUACUUUCACGGUGGCGGCACCACCCGAGGUUUCCAAGAUCUCCAACGAAGGCCUUUCUCCACCAACCCCAAAGUCUUCGAUCAUCUUCCUUGCGAGGAAAUGGCCAUCAACUUCGCUGUUCCUGAGGUCAGUUCACCACCUUGUCUCUUGUACUUUUACCAUAUCCAUGUUCAUCUGCAAUUCAUCUUACUGAACAUUCCUCUCCUUUUUCCUUUGUUCUUCUUUUUAUCCUUAAAAACUUCUAGGAUUUGUCCAAUAAGAUUGUCAUCCCUACCGAUCAACCACACCUCCAAUGUCUCGGCCCGCUAGGGAACCCAGAUCCCACCGAUCUGAUAAACGCAGAGACAAACAGAAUUCCUUUUAGAGCCGAAAAUUUUUCUCUAGGUCUAUGGAAAGAUGCCUUCCGUUCCUGGCCCAGUCCUACCAAGGGAUGGAAGGAUUGGUUCUUGAGAGUCAGCCAUUCAAAUGAAGUUCAAUGGGGCGAGCGAAAACUGGACCAGUGCAUUAGGCCGUCUCUUGCCGAUAUGGAUAGGAAUGAAUCACUGUUGAUUGCUGCAUCAUAUUUCUGGUCAGACACACUUAAUGCUUUUGUUUUCGGCCAUGGCCCUGCUUCUCCCACUCUUGCCGAUGUGCUUAUGCUCACCGGCUUAGAUGUAUCCACUGCCGGUAGUAGUCACAUAUUUGACUCCAAACCUAGCGCUAAGGUGGAAACUCGCUCUAUCGGCGGUUGGUCUGGGUACAUUCAGAAGUACCGUAGAACAGGGUCUGUCAACAUAAAGGAACAGACCACCUUCGUGAACAUGUGGUUGGACAAAUUUGUAUUCUGCGGUCGAUCGGCAGGACCAACCUCUGUCUACCUAUCGGCAGCAGAGAGAUUAGCUAAUGGUGGCCGAUUUCCCCUCGGCCGAUACCUGCUUGGCUCUGCCUAUCAUCUUCUCCACCAAGUAGCCAAGAAACUUUUGCUCGGCCAACCCAUCGGCAACUUAGGGGGCCCUUGGUGGUUCAUCAACAUGUGGCUUAGUCUCCAUAUGCACAAACGCCUGGAAUUCGACCUCUUUGCACAGCGUUUCCCCAGGGAUAUAGUAGAGGAUCAUGAGUUAGAUGAAGAAGAAUCGGCAACCCGUCCUCCCCUAAACUAUGGUGAAGCUGUCAUAGUCUUGCCUGGUACUGGAGGCAAUGGAGAUCAAGUCAGCCGAUUCUUUCAGACUCUUUAUGAGGGUCUGACCAAAGAACAACGAGCAUGGAUGCCUUAUGAAGAUCCAGACACCAGAUUUCCUCUGACCUUUCACCCCUUCGACGAUGCUCUCAAUAAAGACCAUGAUGUGAUGAUGGCAAUUAUCACUCCAAGAGCCAUACCAGUAAACUUCUUCGGCAGUGGGAAAGUCUCCAACCAGACCUAUGAAUUCUACAACCCAUCGGCACUAGCCCGUCAACUAGCUUUCGGUCAGCUGCCAAUUGCACUUUGUUAUGCCGAUGUGAUAAAACCCAGGGAAACCAUUACUAGUCUUCUCGAGUGGACCAGAAUAGCUCAACUGCCACCAAACGACGAUACAAAUGCCGAUCUAUCAGAUUGGAUCCUGGCCCUCUUCAUCACUCAGGCAUACAAACAAUGGUGGGAAGAAUGGAAAGAGCACCUGUUUUGCAGAUCGGCUCUUACGUACCGUGGCAUGAUCGACCCUCAAUACAAAGUCCCCGAUAACACUGUAAGUACUUCUGAACCGAUGUUUCAAUCCUUUCAUUUUCACUUUCCAUCGGUAUCUUAUUUCCUUGUUAUAUGCAGGUCGAUGACACACCCCCAUUGGUCAGUAGGAGUGGCAAGCCAAUUGAGCUCCUUCCAUCGGGCCCGAUCUCUUUGAUCGGCAACAACGCUCCAACCCUGGCUGCCAUAAUGCAUCGGGGUGUGCGUCUCAAGAAAGUUACCACCAAGCGGGCGAAGAUAUCCCCAUCAGUAGCUGCCUCUACCCUAGCACAAGCCUUCAAGGUAAAUUUUCGAGUUCUUAUACCGAUUCCAUUCUCAUACUUAUUACACUUGUACCCACAAUCUUCUCACUGUUGUACCAGCACACCGGUACAUCGGCAAAGACCAGAAGUACGACUACCGAUGCCCCCCAGUCCAGUCAACCGAAGAGAAAAGGUUCCAAGAGUACCAGAUUACAAGCAAAGCGCCAAAGAACAGUAACGCCUUCUCCUCCCCCAGUAUCUCCGAUUCCAGUAGAAUCAUCCCCUUCUCCUCCAGAAGCCCAGAUACAACCAGCACCGUCUCUUCUUCAAUCACAAGAAGAAAUCCAAACAGAAGAACUUCAGCCAGAAGAACCUCAACCAGAAGUACCUCAGCCAGAAGAAACAUCGGCUGAUGUACGCGAGCAGACUGCCGAUCCAGCAAGCUUAAUCAUAGCAUCGGUAGUUUCCUCGAUUCAGACUAGUACUGCAGCUUUCCAAGGUAACAUACUCUUUAUUUAUUGCCGAUGAACCUACUUUUUUCCAAUUUGUUAAUAACUUCUGUCAAUCUUGCAGCUGACAUAGUUUCAUCGGCAAUCCCAGCCGAUCAGCCUGUGGUUCCAUCGGCUUCAACUAGCCAAAGGCGAGAGAUAGAUCUGAAGCAAGUAAGUUACCCUGUUGACACAGUUUUUGGCUCACUGAUAAUAUGUGCAAUAUUUGCUUUAAAUAAAUGUAAAUAGUAUAUAUGGCCAAAUUCCAUGUAAAUAAGAAACAAAUAACAAGAAGUGAUAUUAUCUAUGAAGUGUAGUACAUUAAAAAAAAAUGCAUGAGUGGACGACGCGUGCAAGCGUAUAUAUUCUUCACAUAUUGUAUACCAUGCAUGUACUCGUGAAAAAAAAAAGAUAUUUUGCGUUUUGGUGCUCAUAAGUGACCUGCUAAGUCCAUAACGUGGUGGUUAACACAAUGGAAAAAGUAAAAAAAUAAAUAAAUAAAAGGAAAUGAUAAAACAAAUUAAAAGCAAACACAUAUAUGCAUAUACGUUUGCUAGUUACGGCAGCAAGUACACUGUACAUAGGCGUGUACUUAUGGUUAUGUGUAGGCAAGAAAAUAAAUUAUUUUUUAUUUUUAUGAACAAAAAAUGGAUCACAUGUUAGAUAUACCUGUGCGCGCUUAGUAGAUUCAAACAAAGUCAAGGCACGGCCAUAUCCAGUCCGCCGCCAUGACCAUGUCUACGUACAUAACUCCCUUGGACUGCACGAUCCUACAUGCCGCGUACAUGGUGAUUCAAAAUCAAAUCAAAUUGCCGCUUAAGCACUCUGGAUUAAGGGAGAAAAUCAAAUGAAAGGAGCGCCAAAUCUCUGGGCCAACUGCUGGUCGCUCCUCUCUAUAAAUAGCAGGUCACGGCCAUCGUUCAGACCCCCUGCUCUCCUGAUUGAACGUGCCGCCAGGCUGCUGCUGCAUUGCCUCGCUGAAACAAACUGCUGCCCAUCUGCCGCAGCCCUCACCAUCAACAAAUCUGAGCACUCGUCCAGUCUCUGCCAAAAUCAGUUCUCCACAAACAACUCCAAAGCAAAUACCAGAGGGAGGAGAGCAACAUCAUCCAAGAAAAGAUCGCUCGGCAGGAACUUGUUGCCGCCGGUGGAGUAUCGCUGCAAGGUGAGAUGCUUACAGGAGCAACCAGCUAAUACUUCCGAUCUCCCGUCUCUCUUCGCUUUCUGUUCUUCGACUACUGCAUCGACAAGCUUCAUCGGCAACUCGGCGGUUUUUGUUAAAUGGCCAGCCCAUGCCGCUGCAGAUGAGCAGCGUGGAGGGGACUGACCCCAGUAAAAGAUUAAAGGGACAAACAAGGUUGGCGCCCCGCGCCUGAGUUUGAUCUCUGGUAAAAGAUCGUUCGGCAGUGCUACGACCAUGCUAUGCACAUGGGCUGAGCCAUGUAAAAGGUCAACCAGCAGUGCCACGACGCGCUAUGUGCAUGGGCUUUGUGCCCCGGUGAAGGUGUAAAAAUGCAGCAAAUAUACCGUGGUAAAAUUCGGGUUUGGAUGCGAUUUGGCUCCAUCCCGCGGUUAAAAUUUGGUUGGACGCGAUCUUGGCUCCAAUCCAGUUAAAGGUUCAUAAUACAAAAUUAGUGGACGCGCUUUGGCUCCACCUGGUUUAUGAUAAAAUUGGUAUGGACGCGAUUUGGCUCCAUAUCCAAAUAAGUCUGCAUAUGUUUUGGCCAUGACCCCGCCGGCCUAUUUCGGUACUAUGCAUCAAAAGAAAAUAAACAAAUUGCGUGCUACGGCCAUAAAAGAAGUUCGUGUGCUAAGAUAUGUUAAAUCAAAGAAAUAGUCAUUUGUGCAUUAGAAACUAUGUCAAAAGAGAAGUUAGUUAUGUAUUGCUUAUAGGGAUCUUCAGCCAUGCAUAUACAGUACACCGGGAACCCUGCUAGAUGUUAGACAACUUCCGGCAUAAAACUAAUCACCAUUUCUAUGUUAAUUAUUUUAAAUAAAAUAAAGACCAGGUGCAUUGCAUGGUUCAUCUCCAAACAAACCAUUUUGCAACUAAAAAAUUCCGAUCCAGUAUACUGCACGGCUAGCACCUGCUCGCACAUAAUAAAUAUAUCCAUAGCACCAUAUUCUAGCCAUUAGUAUGUAAAUAGAAGAGUAUAGUUAAAACAAAAGAAAGUAUACUCUGCAUGCAUAAAAAAAUACAUCGGUUCACCACAUACUGCUUAAUUACACAUUAAAUAAAUUUAUGUCACAUUAUGGCUAGACUACAUAAAUAAAUUAGACUAAAACGAUUACAUCAUACCAAAUUCUCACCAUGAACGCCUAAGCUACUUAAUCUCUUGUGGCACAGGGACUGAAAUAAUCAAAAUGUCAUGAACAUUCAUAUAGACGUGGCUAAGUCAAAUAAGCUUAGUCAUAUUUAUCAUAAUUUCCAAACCACAUACAUGACCAGCCUAGGCCUCCCAAAUACCAUGCAAAAUGGGUAAAUUAAAUAUUGCAUGUUAAGUUGUUAGAACAGGGCAAGUUAAAUUAAAUCGGAUCAUAUAGCAUAGGACAUGCAAAUCCUUAGCUAAAAAUCGUACUAUGAGUACCCAUACUAACUUUGAUUAAAAUAAAUUAAUUGCCUACACUGACUUAGUCUGGCGCCGCAACAUAUCGCCCCAAGUUAGGACAAAAUAAAUAAUACCUUGUCUUAGCUUAAAUGAAACAUUGCAUUACACGUCGAGUGCAUCUGCAUAUCUCGAAACAUGCUAAAUUAUGAUCUUAAAUGAUCCAAAAGACUAUGUCAAAUGUAGUCUCUAAAGUAAGUUACAUGCAUGCAUACAUAAUAAAAUACACCAAAUAAAUAUUUACCACAUAAAUAAAUUAACAUCCCUUCGUCGGCGUACAUAUAUGUCAAAAUUCAUGUAACUCAAUGCAUAUAUGUCCAAAUAAUUAAACAAAGGGCCAUAUGCAGAGUUAUUAAUAUUUAACCAUAUUAUGUCGUAAAUAAAUAAUAUGACAUUCUCAAAAGUUUGCAUGGAUCAAAUAUGCAUGUUGUCAUCACGGGUUGCUAAGAAGCUAAACAUGCUAGCGACCAAUCAUAAAAGGAAUAUAUAUUACCUGCUCAACAAAUAAAGUAUCAUGCUCAAAAGAAAUGAUGAAUAUCAAGUUCAAGUUUAUGCCAGGCCUAUGCAUGCAUCCAUCCGCGACUACAGGACUGAAGAUUUUAUUUUCUUUUGUAGUUUGUAAUAGCAAGCCAUAUGAUAUAAUCGUUCUUCUUCAUGUACUCAUGUUGGAACUCUUAAUCAGGGGUGUUCUCUUCGGAGAUGUAAUUAACAUAAUUUUUAUAUAAAUAUAAGAAUUAUGGAAGUAUGGACUCGCAAUACCUGUUCUUUUCAUAUUGUCCCAUUUAAAUUUAUAUUUGUCUCUGCUGACGCGGAGGCGGGUCAUAGCCGCCCGUUUCCCCGCCUUCAUACCCGAUCUUCAUUUUUAUUGCUAUCAGUACUAGAUCAUGAAAUAACUCGUUUUAUCUCCUUUUUCAGGAACAGGAUUCUCCUGACAGCCUGUUCUCUUUCGCUAUCGAGAUCUCUGAGGAUGAAGGCGAGGAAGCAAGUUCUUCUCGAGCAGUCGGAAUCUCAUCGGCAGAGAUUAGAACAAAGCUGGAGGACCUGUCAGUUCUUCUUCAUCAAGAUACAGCGCAAUUGGUCGAUGAUUCUGACCCAGCCAAAGCUCUGUUCAAAGCUCUCAGAGGACAAAUCCCUACCGAUGCCGAAGAGAUUCUUUUCCAGGCUGCACACUUAGAGAGUCGCCAGCUGUAGUACCAAAAGGUUGCUCAACGCCUUGCCGAUAGAGCUGCUCACGCUCAGCUCUCAGAGGAGAUGAUGAAAGUGUAGCUCCUUGCCGAUGAGAAGCAUAAGAGCAUCGGCACUCUGAAGUCAUCAGGAGAUGCGCUGAAACAAAAGAUCUCUGAUCUAUCAGCGAAGAGAAACGCCCUGUUGGCAGAACUCAAACAGGUAGAAGAAGCUCUAUCUCAAGCCCAACAGGAAGAAAGCCAGCUGCCUGAUAUGAUCAAGACUCUUGAACAAGAACGGAAUACUCAGGCUCGUAAAGCACUGCAAAUGAAGAAGAAGCUGAAACCGGUGGAAGGUUCUGCCGAUGAAGACAUCAAAGAGAUAGAAGAGGCCAACCAAAUCCGCCUACACGCUAUAUCGACGAUCCAGGCUUUGUUGAAUGUAUGAAUUCUCCAUCGGCAGCGUGCCCUGCUCUUUUCUUUUGAACACUCCUGAUUAUUUUGGUCUAGCCGAUAGGACUGUUAUCGGCACCUUUUUAAAACACUAAGUCCGGCCCCAGACACAAUUUAAUCCAGCCGAUAGGAAUGUUAUCGGCACUUAAACUUUUAUGCAUCGACCCAUAUGCUCGAGUAAUAUUUCUUUAGAUAUUUGCCAUUUAAUGCCCUAGGAUAUUCAACUCCUUCGAGAGUUUCUAAGAUAUAGGCAUUGCCAGGAGCAGAUCGAUUUAUCCGAUAGGGACCCUCCCAAUUGGGAGACCACUUCCCAAAUUUUGAACUUUUAGUCCCGAUCGGUAAGACUAGCUUCCAUACUAAGUCUCCAUCGGCAAACUCCUUAGCCUUCACCUUCUUAUCAUACCAUCUGGCAACUCUCUUCUUAUUCUCUUCUAUACUCAUCAAAGCCCUUAGCCGAUGCCCUGCUAGAUCAUCCAACUCGUCUGUAAUCAAAGUAGUAUAAUCAUCGGCAGUCAAUUGAUCUUGAAAAGAUAGUCGCCUAGACCCAGUCUUAAUUUCCCAAGGUAACACCGCAUCAUGUCCAUACACCAACUGAUAAGGUGAAACUUUGGUCGACCCAUGACAAGCCAUCCGAUAUGACCAUAAAGCUUCAUUCAACAAUGUAUGCCACCUCCUAGGAUUUUCUUCAAUCUUUCGUUUAAUAUGCUUGAUAAUUUCUUUGUUAGAUGCUUCGGCCUGCCCAUUAGCUUGAGCAUAAUAAGGAGAAUAAUUUAAUACUUUAAUUCCCAUACCGAUUGCAAACUCAUCAAACUCCCCUGAUGUAAACAUAGUACCCUGAUCGGUAGUAAUCGUUUGAGGAAUUCCAAAUCGGUAAAUAAUAUGCUCUUUCACAAAAUCAAUCAUAUUGGCCGAUAUAACUUUCUUCAAAGGAAUAGCUUCAAUCCACUUAGUGAAAUAAUCGGUGGCGACCAAGAUGAAUUUAUGUCCUUUACUUGAUGGUGGGUAAAUUUGGCCAAUUAGAUCAAUAGCCCAUCCCCGGAAUGGCCAAGGUUUAAUAAUGGGAUUCAUGGCCAAUGCGGGUGCCCUUUGAACAUUGCCAAACUUCUGACAUCCCUGACACCCUUUGAAAUAUUUAAAACAAUCCUCAAGUAUAGUCGGCCAAUAAUACCCAUUUCUUCUGAUCAUCCACUUCAUCUUAAAUGCCGACUGGUGUGCUCCACACACUCCUUCAUGGAUCUCUCCCAUUAAACUUUUAGCCUCAUCAUCACCUAAGCACCUAAGAAGAAUCCCAUCAAUGGUUCGAUAAUAUAAUUCAUCUUCAAGGAGCACAUACUUGGUGGCUUGAAACCGAACCCGUCUCUCAACUUUUUUGGAUGGAUCCUUUAAAUAAUCAAUGAUUUUUUUUCUCCAAUCAUCGGCACUGAUUGCCGAUAUUGCGUUUAACAUGGGCUGAUAUCCUGAGGCAUGCUGAGCCAACCGAUUGGCCUCUUCAUUAUGCAACCGAGGAACAUGCUCUAACCGGAAAUCUUUGAAUUCCUUUAAUAAUUGCAUACUCCUUUCGUGAUAAGUUAUCAGGACUUCGCUUCGGCAUUCAUAGCUUCCAGCCAAUUGAUUUAUAACCAGCAUAGAAUCCCCGAAGAUUUCAACAGCAUCAUCAUGAACUUCUCUUAGUAAUUCCAACCCCUUUAUCAAAGCUUGAUACUCAGCUUGAUUAUUCGUUGAUGUGGCAACAAUCGGCAAGGAGAACUCAUACUUCCUUCCCCGAGGGGAAAUUAACACUAUGCCGAUCCCUGCUCCCCGGUCACACGUGGAUCCAUCAAAGAAGAGCGUCCAAGGUACGAUUUCUAGAGUCUCCACUGUACCGCAAUGUUGAGUUACGAAAUCGGCCAUAAUCUGUCCCUUAACCGCUUUAGCCGAUUCGUAACGCAAAUCAAAUUCCGACAGUGCCAAAAUCCAUUUACCGAUCCUGCCACUCAUAAUCGGCAUAGACAGCAUAUAUCAUACCACGUCAUCUUUGCAUAUAAUAGUGCAUUCAGCCGAUAACAAAUAAUGUCUCAACUUAAUACAUGAGAAAUAAAGACACAAACAUAACUUUUCAAUGGCCGAAUACCUGGUCUCAGCAUCAAUCAAUCUCCUGCUUAAAUAAUAAAUCACACGUUCAUUCCCUUCAAAUUCUUGAAUUAAAGCCGAACCGAUGACCAUACCAUCAGUAGAUAAAUAUAAUCUGAAGGGCUUUCCUUGCUGAGGUGGAAUCAGAACCGGAGGAUUUACCAAAUAAUUCUUGAUUUCAUCUAAAGCCAACUGUUGCUCUUUUCCCCAUACGAACUCUUGAUCGACUUUCAAUUUGAGUAAAGGACUGAAAGCACGAAUCUUACCGGACAAGUUAGAUAUAAAUCUUCUGAUAAAAUUUACCUUGCCGAUCAAGGACUGGAGCUCAGUUUUGUUGGUAGGAGCAACUAUUUUGCUGAUAGCAUCAAUGGAUCUCCUACUAAUUUCAAUCCCCCUUUGAUGCACCAUGAAACCAAGAAAUUUCCCUGCUGAUACACCAAAUGCACACUUAUUAGGGUUCAUCUUUAAACCAUGCUUCCUUGUGCAUUGCAACACCUUUCGCAAAUCGACAAGAUGCUUUGCGAAAUCUCCAGACUUAACAACCACAUCAUCAAUAUAAAUUUCCACCAGCUUGCCGAUGAAAUCAUGAAAGAUAAAAUUCAUAGCCCUUUGAUAAGUAGCACCGGCAUUUUUCAAACCAAAGGUCAUGACUAUCCAUUGAAACAACCCAACAUGACCAGGACAUCUAAAUGCAGUCUUUGGAAUAUCUUCUUCAGCCAUGAAUAUUUGAUUGUAUCCUGCAUUGCCAUCCAUAAAGCUGAUGAUCCGAUGCCCAGCCGCAGCAUCAACUAGCAGAUCGGCAACCGGCAUUGGGUAGCGAUCCAUCGGUGUAGCUUUAUUAAGAUUCCUGAAAUCAAUGCAAACCCAAAGUUUCCAUUUUUCUUGUAUACUGGAACAACAUUGGAAAUCCACUCGGCAUACCGACACUGCCGAAUAAAUUUAGCUUCAAUAAGUUUGGUUAUUUCGGCCUUAAUAUCAGGAAGAAUAUUAGGAUUACAUCUGCGAGCAGGCUAUUGAUGUGGCCGAAAUCCAGACUUGAUGGGUAACUGAAGUUCAACAACCGAUCGGUCCAAACCAGGCAUCUCAGUAUAAUCCCAAGCAAAGCAAUCUUUAUAUUCUUUUAACAAAUCGGUUAACUGCUGCUUACACUCAGAAUUUAACUUAGCACUAAUAAAAGCAGGUCUAGGUUAAUCACCACUACCUAUAUCUACUUCUACCAACUCAUCGGCUAAUGUGAAUCCCUGGCCUACUUUUCCAUCAUCGGCGAACCUAUCCAUUAGAACUCCUCGUCAGAACCGACUGCUUGGAUCGGUGGAAUUUCAUAAUCGGCAACUUUGAGGAAAUCCUUCUCCCAAAUCUCUCCUGAUAUACACCUGGUUCUUUCAUAAGUGUCUGCUUCUGCCGAUGCAAUGACAUAAGAAGAAUCUCCCGGGACAAUCUCAAUCUUGUCACCUACCCACUGAACCAAACAUUGGUGCAUCGUAGACGGGAUGCAACAAUUGGCAUGAAUCCAAUCUCUCCCUAGCAGCAGAUUGUAGGCACCUUUUCCACUGAUCACAAAGAAGGUUGUCGGCAAGGUUUUGCUGUCGAUGGUCAACUCGACGCAAAUUGCCCCCUUAACCGGAGACACAUUUCCUUCAAAGUCUUUUAGCAUCAUAUCGGUCUUGGUCAAAUCCUGAUCUCCUUUUCCAAGCUUCCGAUAGACUACAUACGGCAUGAUGUUGAUAGCAGCUCUACCAUCAAUUAAUAUCUUGGUCAUUGGCUGACCAUCAACUCUCCCUUUGACAAACAGAGCUUUAAGAUGCUGCCUUUCAUUGUCGGCAGGCUUUUCGAAGAUAGCUGUCAUCGGAUCCAGAGCCAAGUGAGCUAUCUGGUCAGAAAACUCCAACUCCUCAUCAUCGCUAGACGGCACAAGGAAUUCCAUCGGCAACAUAAAUACCAUGUUAACAUCUGCCGAUGGCCCUUUCCCCUUAGGACCUGAUUGUUGCUGAUCUCCAGACUGGCCAAGGUUCUCAACCUUGCUUAGUUCUUCCCACCUUUCGCGUUGCAGCCUCCUUUUCUGUGUCUUAGUCAACCCCUCUGGACACCAUGGGGGAAGUGGUGACUGCCUUGCCGAUGGACGACGAUGUUCCCUUGACUCCAUCCGAUGAGUAUUAGCAUCCCUACAAAAUAUGAACUCAUCUGGAACUCGUGCAUUAGCCAUCUCCUCAAGCUCUUCCUGAUUCCUGGGAAAAUAUUCAACAUGAUCACCAAGCCUAUCGUGCACACUGAGUCUGCCCCCCAGCCGAUCAUGAACGGACGCUCUCCCCCUAAUCGGCCCAUUAAAUCGCCGAUCAUCAUCGUGAUAGCGUCGAUCGGAUCUGUCAUACCGAUCAUAACCAUUGCAUUCAGGGCUAUCUCUAACAGUGGGCAACUUGAUGUUCUGCUCCCAGCAAUGGAUAAAGAACGGGCAGUUCCAGUGAUCCUUGUGUCGAUUCCACUCUUGACGGCGUCUUUCUUCUUCGCGACGAUAAUCUUCUUGCUGACGCCGAUACCGAUCCUCACGCUGCUGCCAAGUCUCCCGAGGCCUUCUAUGAGUUAUCAUAAUACUAGAUCGGGGAGGCCUUCUUGAGUUAGUUCCCUCUAGGAUCAAGCCUUUUCCUUUGGCAUCGGCAGCAGUAAUUUGAUGCUGAGGAUCUACCGAUGCAUUCCUCUCAGCUGCUUCCAAUGUCAAGACCUUGGUUUUUCCCUUAGCAUCCAAUAUAUUUGUUGGGAAAGGAUGUUGAUCGAUCUUCAUCGGUUUCUGAGCUUUGGAACUAUCAAAUUUGAUUCUGCCAGAUUCAAUAGCCGAUUGCAGCUGUUGUCUAAAAACUUUGCACUCCUUGGUGUUGUGAGAGGUUGCAUUAUGCCACUUGCAGUAUUUCAUCUUCUUCAACUCUUCAGCCGAUGGGAUUACAUGAUUGGGUGACAAUUUGAUUUGACCUUCUUGAAGUAGAAAGUCAAAUAUCCUGUCGGCUUUGGUGAUAUCAAAUGCGAACUUCUCUGGCUCUUUAUGCCCAAAAGGGCAAGACAUCGGCUUCUUAUUCUUCACCCACUCUGCCAAGCCGAUGACUGGCUCUUCAUUAGAAUCUGAGCUCGCUGCCUCAUCAACAAAUGACACCUUUUUGUUCCAAGCUCUCUUAGGUUCAAAAGGCUUAAUAUCCUAGUCGGAAAUCCUCUGGACCAAGUGACACAGGCUCUCGAACUCUUGAGAAGCAUAUUUGUCCCUGAUAUGUGGCAACAAACCCUAGGAAGCCAAAUCGGCUAGCUGCCGAUCGUCCAAAACCAGACUAUAGCAUUUAGUCUUGACUUCCCGCAACCUCUGCACAAAACUUUCAACCGAUUCAUCAUUACGCUGUUUCAAUCUGACCAAAUCGGUAAUUUUCUUCUCAUGGACUCCAGAAAAGAAGUACUUGUGGAACUGCUUCUCCAGAUCGGCCCAAGUAAUCACUGAAUUAGGAGGCAAUGAUAUAAACCAAGUGAAGGCCGAUCCAGAUAAAGAUGAUGAAAACAGUCGAACCCUCAAUUCAUCCCUGUUAGCAGCUUCCCCACAUUGGAUGAUAAACCUGUUGACAUGCUCCAUAGUCGAUGUAUCAUCCUGUCCAGAAAACUUAGUGAAAUCUGGCACUUUGUACCGAUUUGGAAGUGGAAUUAAAUCAUAUGUAGGAGGAUACGGUGUCCGAUAAGAGUAAGUGUUGACUUUGGGUUUUAUCCCAAAUUGGUCCCUCAUUACUUCAGCAAUCUUAUCAGCCCAAUAGGCAUCGGCAUCUUGCCGAUGAGGUGGUUGUAGAUCUGGCGCCUGCUGAUACACUUCCACGUGUUGCUGAGGCGCACGAUCUGCAUGGAACAUGGGGUUGAUCGUCUGACCACCAAACUGUUGACCAAGAUUCAUCGGCUGGUUGGGCAUUCCUUGAUUCUGAAACCUAGGUUGGAUUUGACCUUGCUGAAACCCUGGAGCUUGAUGACUCUGCUGAGGCAUCUGUGGGAAAACAAAUUGCCCAGGUGAAAGUGCAUUUGCCCCCUAUGUGGGUUUUGGUGUAUUGAUGACAUCCAAUUUAGGGACUAAUGCGUUGUAUUUGAGAUUUGCUACAGCUACUAGUCUUAUGAAAGAUGCAAAGGUUCAACCUAAGAUGAAAUGGUAUCCCCCAAUCUUCGUUCGUGAGAAAGGCGUUGGAUUCAAUCUAGAGCUUAUUCGUUUUUAUGUUAACUUGGGGAUAGGUAUGCCAUACUAUCAAGAGGGAUUCAAAGGUUGUUGGUUUGGGGAAGAUAGAGUGCUCAACUCUUUCAACUAAAUCUUUUUAGAGACACUCUAGCUCCUCUCUUGCACUUAGGAUUAACUUCUGUGACUUCUGGUGUCGGAAGUCCCGACGCGGGUCGGAACUCCCGACGUGCUGCGCGAGAACUGUGAGCGUCGGAAGUCCCGACGUGAGUCGGAAGUCCCGACGUUGAGUUCUGCGCGCGCACGCGUCGGAAGUCCCGACAAGCGUCGGAAGUCCCGACGCCAGGCCUGUCUCGCGCAAGUGCCAGCAGUUCCGGCCAGCGUCAGCAGUACUGACCUGUCAGAAGUUCCGACGCAUGUCGGAAGUUCCGACACUGACUUCCUGCGCUGACCUCGGCUGCCUGCUCAACAGUGUUUCCCAGUGAGUGUCGGAAGUCCCGACACUAUGUCGGAACUUCCGACGUAGAUCUGAGCAGACUUUUCUCCUAGUAGUAUAAAUAGCUUCCUCUGUGUUUCUAACCGUUACCCACUCAUUCUUUGCGACCAACCCUCAGACUAAACAGCUCCCAAGCACCCAAGACUCCUCUCUCCUCCUCCUCUUUGCUCCUAACUUCAAUUCACCUUAGAUUUGGAGUGUUUGGAGAGUGGAUAAGUGAGAGCAACGCCUUGAGAAGUUUGAGCACUUGAUCUCUUCAUCAAGCCGGCAGGUUUUGAGUUUAUUACUCUUGGGUUCUUGGAACCCUAGCCGGCUAGGCGUCGUCCAAGAGCUUCCAUCUUGUGGAAGAGCCUUGGAAAGUUUGUAUCACCCCGUUUUUCUUAGUGGAAAGCUCAAGUGACCUUUGUGGUUACUUUGAGGGUGGCAAGGAGGUGAAAGAGACUCCGACCUUAGUGGUCACCUCAACAACGAGGACGUAGGAACUCCUAAGUGGGGUUGCCGAACCUCGGGUUAAUUCUUGUGUCUCUUGUGGUUACUUUUCUUAAGUUCUACUUGUAUUACUUGUAUUUGCUUGUGCCUCUACCUCCUUUUUAGGGUUUGGUCUCGAUCUACGAUUUGGGGAACUCUUGGUGUCAAGGAAGGCUCUCAACAUCCUCUUCUAACCACUAGAGAGUGGUGUUGUAAGUUGUGGAUUUCACAAAGUUCAUUUAAGCUCUUGUAGUUCAUUUCCCGUAGGUGUCGGAACUGCUGAUAGUUUGCGUUGGAGCUUCUGACAACGUCGGAAGUUCAGACCCAAACUGUCGGGACUUCGGACAGUUGCUGACAAGUGACUUUGAGUUUUGUGUAGAAUUUUUAGAUACGCCUUUUCACCCCCCCUCUAGGCAUUGUUUAGAUCCUUUCAAUGGGUAUCAGAGCAAGGUCUUCUUUUAGCACUUUACCGUGUGAGAAGAAACAAUGUCGGAAACCGAAAAGACACAAGAGUUGGCUAAGGAAAUAGCCAAAGAACUGUUGGCAGCUCAAUCAAAGCUUUUUCAAGAUGAAAUGAAGAAAAUGCAAGAUGAGAUGACAAAGUUAAAAGAAGAGCUGAGCAAGAAAGUUGAAGAUGCGAUAGGUAGUAGAAAAUCUGAUGAGGGACCUAGUGGGCACAAAGACAAUGAUAAUGAAAGUGAAGUUGGUGGUAAAGAAGAAGGUCACCCAAAAGGAGUCUACUCCAACAUGAACUUUGAUUAUUCUCAGCUUAUCAAGGCUUCACAUCAUGCCCCAUCUAUCAACCUAGGGAAACCUCCUCACUUUGAUGGAACUAGAUAUCCCGAUUGGGCCUACAAAAUGAAGAUGCACCUCAUUGCUGCAAAUCUUUGGGAAGUGGUAGAUGUUGGUGUAACAUUUCCCACUGAAGAUAGAGAGAUCACUCCGGAGGAAGCUCACAUCUUUCGUCAAAAUGCACAAGCUGUGGCUAUUUUAGUUUCAAGUUUGGCUCCAGAUGAAUUCAACAAAGUGAAUGGAAGAGAAGUUGCCAAGGAUAUUUGGGAAGUGUUGAAAACAGCAUUUGAAGGUGACAAGAGUGUGAGAAAGGGUAACAUUGAGUUACUUCAUGGUGAGUUGGAAAGAUUUGUUUUUCUAAAAGGUGAAUCCACUCAAGCUAUGUUUGAUAGGAUGAUGUCUUUGGUCAACCGGAUAAGAUCUAUUGGAAGCACUGAAUGGGAUGAAAACAAGGUUGCAAGAAAGAUCUUAAGAACCUAUAGAGCAAAGAACAACAUGCUAGCGUCAGUGAUUAUGGAAAGGCCCGACUAUGAUUGCAUGACUCCUCAAGAAGUUCUAGCCAAGCUCAAGCAUCAUGAGUGCCUUGAUCAAGAUGCUAUCAAUGCACAUAGUCAAAAUCCUAGUGCAAUGGGAUAUAACAAGAAUGUAGCUCUAAAGGUAGAGCAAGGACAUGAACACCACAAGUCAUGUUAAGAAAAGAAGAAAGUGAAGCAGGAUUCAUCAAGUGGUGAUGAAGAUUCUGAUCAAGAAGUUGCUUUCAUCAUUAGAAAUCUCAGAAAGUUUAUGAAGAAGAAGGGUCAUCAAAAGAAGAAGAGGUGGACAAACCGGUCACUUCAUAGCUGAGUGCCCAAAUAUGAAAGACAAGAACAAGUACAACAAGAAUAAUGACAAGAAGUACAAAGGAAAGAAAAAGGGUGAAGCUCAUCUUGGUGAAGAAUGGAUAUCAAAUGAUAGUGACUCAAGUGAUGAAGAGAAGAAGAAGAAGAAAGGAGCUGCAAACAUUGCCAUCCACAAAUCCUCAUCAUCACUCAUGAAUCUCCCAAAGGCUUCACCACCAAAGCUCUUCCCCAACUUGGAUUCUACACCAAGCCUCUUCGCCAACCUCAACGACGAUGACUACUACACUCCAACUUGCCUUAUGGCUAAGGGGGAGAAGGUAACUACCUCAUCCGAAACCUCUAGUGAUGAAUAUGAUAGUCAUGAUGAAAACAUAGAACAACAUGAGGCAUCCUUGAUAAAGAAAUUUGGUCAUAAGGCCUUCACUAAAAUAAAAAGUCUAAUGAAGAAAUUAGAGAAGAGGGAUAGAUGCUUAGAGAUGCAAGGUGAUAUAAUUGUGCAAGAGAAGGAAAAGAACCUAGCACUUAAAGCAUCUAUCGCCAAGGAAAAGACGAAGGUUGAAAAGUUGACCGUUGAAUUGUCUUUAGCCAAUGACCCAAUUGGGAAAUUGACUAAGGAACAUUCCUCGGUUGAUAAUCAAGUAGCUAGCCUUAAAAAUGAGAAUAGUAUAGCUCAAGAAAGCCUCACAAGCUUUAAGGAAAAAUACCGAAUUCUUGAGUUAAACUAUAACACUCUUUGGGCUAGCACUUCGACUUCUCCUAAGGCAACCAAAGACUCUAAUGUCUCCACUAGCAACGGUUGUAAAAGAUGCUACAAAGUUGAUGUAAAUGCUUAUGCCACUAACCUUGUUGAGCUAGAGAGAAAGGACAAGGAAAUCAAUAGGUUGAAGAUGGAAAUUAAGAAGGGGUGUAAAUGCCAAGAGCAAUCUAAAAGGACUAUAUACAAGGCAUUUAGGCACCCAUCCAUCAAGGAAGGACUUGGUUUUAAUAGGUAUGAUGGAAAGAUCAAUGGAAGAAACAUUGUGAACGGAGUGCCUUGUGUAAAGUUCAACAAGGGUGUUGCCCUUGAUGAGCUUAUCUACAAGGCAAACAACAAGGUUUAUCUUCCGUUGAUUCAACCUACAAGCAACAAGGAAAGCAAGAUAAAGUCAUCCGAAGCUCCCAAGUCACAAGCACCACUUCCACGGUGCUAUGCUAGUGACUAUAUGUGUUGUUGGAGCAAAGAUGGCAAGAUCGUGGUAAAGUAUGUUGGUGCCCACAAGAGGAAGGAAAUAUUGAGGAGUGUUUGGGUGCCAAAACUUUAUGUGACUAACCCCCUAGGACCCAAAUCUAUUUGGGUACCUAAAACACAAGUUUGAUUUGUCUUUGUAGGAAUACUCCUCCGGUAGAACAAGUUGGGUGUUGGAUAGUGGAUGCACCAAUCAUAUGACCGGAGAGAAAGAUAUGUUCACUUCAUUCCAACCUAGUGGUGAACAAAGUGGAAACAUUGUAUUUGGUGACAAUGGAAAAGGAGAAGUACUUGGUUUGGGUAAAAUUGCUAUCUCAAAUGAUAACUCCAUUUCCAAUGUUUUACUUGUAAAUUCGUUGAGUUACAAUUUGUUGUCCGUCUCGCAACUUUGUGAAAUGGGUUACAAUUGUCUCUUUACGGAUAAGGGUGUGGAAGUCUAUAGAAGGGAGGAUUCCUCUAUUGCAUUUACGGGUCACCUAAAAGGGAAACUCUAUCUAGUUGAUUUCACAUCAAAUAGAGUAAAGCCCGAGACUUGUUUAAUGGCAAAAUCUAGCAUGGGGUGGUUAUGGCAUCGCCGACUUGCCCAUGUUGGGAUGAGGAACUUGGCCAAACUUCAAAAAGGCGAACACAUCCUUGGACUAACAAAUGUUUCUUUUGAGAAAGAUAGGAUUUGCAGUGCAUGCCAAGCGGGAAAGCAAGUAGGAGCUAAGCAUCCCGCAAAGAACAUCGUGACAACCGAAAGGCCCUUGGAGCUGCUACACAUGGACAUAUUUGGACCCGUGGCUUACAUAAGCAUUGGUGGUAACAAAUAUGGUUUUGUGAUUGUUGAUGAUUAUUCACGUUACACUUGGGUUUUCUUUUUGCGUGAUAAAAGUGAGGUCCAAGGUAUUUUCAAGAAGUUUGCAAGAAGAGCUCAAAAUGAGUUUGAUGUCAAGAUCAAGAAAGUUAGAAGUGACAAUGGGACGGAGUUCAAGAAUACCAACAUCGAAGAGUACCUUGAUGAAGAAGGAAUCAAGCAUGAGUUUUCGGUUCCGUACACUCCUCAACAAAAUGGUGUUGUGGAGAGAAAGAACCGGACACUCAUAGAAGCCGCAAGAGCAAUGUUGGAUGAAUACAAGACUCCGGUGAACUUUUGGGCGGAAGCGGUUCACACGGCGUGUCAUGCUAUAAACCGCUUGUAUCUUCACAAGAAAAGAGAAAAGACCGCCUAUGAACUUCUGACCGGUAAAAAGCCCAAGGUGCACUACUUUAGAGUUUUUGGAUCCAAGUGUUUCAUACUUAACAAAAAGUCCAAAAGCUCAAAGUUUGCACCAAAGGUUGACGAAGGUUUAAUGCUUGGUUAUGGUACUAACGAACAUGGAUAUCGUGUUUUCAAUAAAACCUCCGGUUUGAUUGAAAUCGCGGUAGACAUGACCUUUGAUGAAACUGAUGGCUCUCAAAAGGAGCAAGUCAAUGUUGAGAUUGUAGGUAAUGAAGCAGCUGCACAAGAAGCUAUCAAGAAGCUAGCAAUUGGUGAGAUAAAGCCCAUUGAAGAUGACGAUGAAGAAAGUGCAGUGCAUAUUGAUCAUGAUUCUACCAUUCAUCAUGGCUCAUCAAAUGAGCAUGGUGAGGCUUCCGCAUCAAGAAUCAAUGACGAUUGUGGCAACAAUGUGCAAGCUCAACCUCAUCUUAACCUUGACCACACAAGUGAAGAUAAUCAUCCACAAGAUCAUGGUCUUGGUCUUCCAAUAGAUCAUGGCUAUGAUGAUGAAGAAGAUGAUGGCCCCAUUCAUAGAUCAACUCAAGUACCACAUCCUAGAGUACAUCAAUCAAUUCAGUGGGAUCAUCCCGUUGAUAACAUUUUGGGAAGCAUUCGACGAGGGGUAACGACACGUUCUCGUUUAGCAAGUUUUUGUGAAUAUUACUCGUUUGUUUCUCCUUUGGAACCUCGUAGGGUGGAAGAAGCACUUGAUGAUGAAGAUUGGAUGAUGGCCAUGCAAGAAGAGUUGAACAACUUCACACGGAAUGAAGUCUGGUCCUUGGUGGAAAGGCCCAACCAAAAUGUGAUUGGAACCAAAUGGGUCUUCCGGAACAAGCAAGAUGAGCAUGGCGUGGUGACAAGGAACAAGGCAAGAUUGGUGGCUCAAGGUUUCACUCAAAUAGAAGGCUUGGAUUUUGGGGAGACCUACGCACCGGUGGCAAGGCUAGAAUCCAUCCGUAUUCUACUAGCCUGUGCUGCCCAUCAUGAUUUCAAGCUAUAUCAAAUGGACGUGAAGAGUGCAUUUCUAAAUGGCCCCCUAUCCGAGUUGGUGUAUGUUGAGCAACCACCGGGUUUUGAAGAUCCCAAGUUUCCAAAUCACGUCUACAAGCUCGACAAAGCACUCUAUGGGCUUAAACAAGCCCCUAGAGCUUGGUAUGAUUGCUUAAAGGACUUCCUACUCAAACAAGGGUUUGAGAUAGGAAAGGCCGAUGCUACCUUAUUUACUCGCAAAGUCAAUAAUGAUAUUUUUGUGUGCCAAAUAUAUGUCGAUGACAUAAUAUUUGGUAGUACUAAUGAAGAUUUUUGUGAGGAAUUUAGUAGGAUUAUGACGAACAGGUUUGAGAUGUCUAUGAUGGGUGAGUUGAAGUUCUUUCUUGGAUUUCAAAUCAAGCAACUCAAAGAUGGCACGUUUAUAAGUCAAACGAAGUACACCUACGAUAUGCUAAAGAAGUUCGACAUGGACAAAGCCAAACCCAUCAAAACACCAAUGCCAACAAGUGGGCAUCUUGACCUUGAUCAAGGAGGAAAGGACGUCGAUCAAAAGGUAUAUCGCUCCAUGAUUGGAUCCCUCCUUUACCUUUGCGCAUCUAGGCCCGAUAUUAUGCUUAGUGUGUGCAUGUGUGCAAGGUUUCAAGCUAGUCCAAAAGAAUGUCAUCUAAUGGCUGUUAAGAGAAUCUUUCGGUAUUUAGUGCACACUCCUAAUCUUGGCUUGUGGUAUCCUAAGGGCUCCACUUUCGAGUUACUUGGCUAUUCCGAUUCGGAUUAUGCCGGUUGCAAAGUAAGUCGAAAGAGUACCACUGGGACUUGCCAAUUUAUUGGUAGGUCUUUGGUGUCUUGGAGCUCUAAGAAGCAGAACUCCGUUGCUUUGUCCACCGCUGAGGCCGAGUAUGUGGCGGCCGGUGCAUGCUGUGCCCAACUACUUUGGAUGAAGCAAACCCUCAAAGACUUCGGUUGUGAGCUAACCAAGAUUCCCCUUUUGUGUGACAACGAGAGUGCCAUUAAGUUGGCAAACAACCCUGUAAACCACUCUCGAACAAAGCACAUAGACAUCCGGCAUCACUUUUUGAGAGACCACGAAGCCAAAGGAGAUAAUGCACUUCAACAUGUGAGCACCGAUAAACAACUAGCCGAUAUCUUCACAAAGCCCCUAGAUGAGUCAAGAUUUUGUGCUUUGAGGAGUGAGCUAAAUAUCAUUGAUUCUCGUAACCUAACUUGAUGUCUUGCACAUAAUUCGAUUGAUCUAGGUAGGAGAAAAUUGUUUGCAAAGUUUGUUUGCCAACUUUCAAAAUCUAAUUUAAUAUAGGUUUCAUGGAUGAUUAUGGUUAUGUAAUGCUUGUUUGUCAGCUAGUCAUCCUUGAAAUCAUUUGUGUCCAUCAUAUUCAUACCCCACUUUGCAGAGAGAGUUCAAAUUCUGAAGUUUUUGGGUCUUCUUGUGUCGGAAGUCCCGACGUGCGUCGGGAGUUCCGACGUGGUUGCGGGCUGAGCCCUCAGCCGGGAGUUCUGGCUAGCGUCGGGAGUCCCGGCCAGCGUCGGAAGUUCUGACGUGCGCCGGAAGUCCCGACGCAGAUCUCGCGCGCGGACCCGUCCCUGGCUUGACUUCUCUUUACCCCUUGACCGGCCAGUUACCGCAGUCAUUUCAUGUUUCCCCCUCCCCCCUCCCCGCAGUCAGUUCCCCCCCUUCACCCCGCGCCUCCUUCCUCCCUGCUCCGAUCCAGAUCCGCCGCCUGCGCGCGCCUCGCCGAUCUGCAAGGUCGCGGUGCGCCCUCCUCCUCGGCUCCCGUCGUGGUUCGCGGUGGUGCGCCCCUCUCCUUCCCCGUCGCCGGUGGUGCGCCCCUUCCCUAUCGCCGUGCGACCUCUCCGUCGCAGUGUGCGCGUGUGUGGUGGGCGCGUCCCGUCGUCUCUCGCUUUGCACUUUCCUCUCUUCCCUCUCAGGUGAUCUCUCCUCUUCUCUCCUUCCCUCCCCUACGUUUGCUUUGGAGUUUCUGCGCUCUCUUGCGUCGGCAGUUCCGACGGAAGUCGGGAGUUCCGACCGUCGGGACUCCCGGCUCGCGCCGGGACUUCCGACCCUGAGCGCCUUUACUCCAUCGCAUGUUUCCCUCUCUCUUUUUCUCGUUCAUGUUGUCUAGCACCUUAGUUGCUAGUAUCUUGUCUCGCAGCGAUGACUCGUGGAAGUCCUUCUCGCCAUGUGGAGAAGAGGUCCAAGACCAACCAAGACCGUUCCGCUGCCCCCCGCACCAAGGCCGUUCUUCCUCGGGCUGGUCCUGGUGGCUCUCGUCGUGCCGCUGCCCGUGCCUCUGGGCAGGGCCCGUCGGCUCCGGUGGCAGCGCCCCCUCCGUCCUCGCAUCGGGCUCCUGAUCCCACCGGGCGCGACACCGAGGUCGACCCUGCAGAAGAGGAGCUUUAGCGUGCCGGGCGGACUAUUUCUGCUCAAGUGCGCUCACCGUAUGAUGGGCCGGAGUGUCCCAUCUCCGCGCUGGUCCCCUUCGACUCUCCGGCCCCCAUUGUGCGGUGCCCCGAGAUCGCUCCCAACAUGGGUGGUUGGGCUCCUCCUCAUCCGAUUGAUUUCCGCCACAACGUCCGCGAUAUCAGGUCAUUCCGGAGCCGCAACCUUUAUGCUGAAGAUGAGAAGGAUCUCCACCUUGAGUAUUGCUUUUGGCACUACUUCCAUUUCUACUAUUAUGACUCUAUUCUGUAUCGCAAGUCUCUUAAGAAAGGGAAGCCUCCAGUUAUUCAAAUGAAGUAUAUCAUUGAGUACUCUCUUACCUCCACCUUCAAAGAUCAAGAGAUUCGGCAAAUGGUGGAAGACUUGCGCAACAUGGGUAUCUCGGGAUUGAUGGAGCUUCACAGGCAUUGGAACAAUGAGGUGAUUAUGCAGUUUUAUGCUUCAUAUUUUCAUGAGACUGACAACGAGAGUGACACUGAUGUGAUUCACUGGACCACUAAGGGUCGUCACUACAAGGUGGAUUUUGUCACCUUUGCUCGUCUGCUUGGUUUCAAUGGGCAUGAUCGUCGUGCAGCAGAGAUCACUGAUUAUGAGGAUGUGGCUAUGUCUGAGUACCAGUUUAUGUAUUUGGAGGGCUUUCCUGCUAAUGGAUAGACUGUUUAUCUGAAGCCCUAUUACUAUGUGCUCAACAACAUUCUCAGGCAGGUGUUGUACCCCAAGGAAGGAGACUCCACUUUUCUUAGGGAUGAUUCUCAGAAGGUCCUAGCCCGUUUUGGAGAUGAUUUCCACAAGUUCUCGGUCAGCCGGUACAUCUGGAACAGGAUUCAUGAUGCUUCUGAGGAUCCGGUCAAAAACCUUCCUUAUGCUCCUUAUGUCAUGCAUGUCAUUCAGCAAGUUUCACGCAUUCGCUUCCCUACUGAUGGCUCAAAUCACAAAGUCCUGAGAUUGGCAAAUCGGGUCUCCGUUCAAGCAGCUAGGGCUUUGAAGGCUCGUGGUGCAGAUCCUCCUCCUCGCCGUGGUGGUCCUUCCUCUGCUCGUUCCCGUCGUGCUGCUCCUUCGCCUCCUGCUGUCUCCCGCUCCACCAGUUCGCAGCCGCUCACCUCUUCUGGCAAAGGCAAGAAGCCUAGCAAGUUCAAGUUUCUCAUGACAUAUAUGUUUGGCCAGUGUUGUGCUAGUGCUCAGAGGGAGCAUGAUAUUCAGGAGAGGCUCUAUCGUCUUGAGCAGCAGGCUGGUGUUGUCUCUUCGCCCCCUCCUCCGUUUGUGCCUCCUCGUGAUCCUCUUGUUCUUUAUGAUGAGGCUUGCCAAGCUUAUCAGGAUGAGGCCACUUCUCGCCCUCAUGGCAAAGGUGUGGCUGCUCCGGAGGAUGAGGAGUACCAUGAAGACGAACAAGAUGAUGAUGACGACGACGCCGAUGAUGAUGGCGGUGACGAUGAGGACUUUGACUUUGAGUAGCUGUUUCUUCUCUAGCGCGGCCUACCCCUUUUGGCACUUAUUGACAAAGGGGGGAGUGUUAGGCUUUGAUCUUUCAUGUAAUAAGCUAGAUGUCGUGGUUGGUAGUCUUAAAAACUUUUUAGUUUCAAUUAUCUAUGUCUCGUGGUGGCACUAUGUGAUGGACAUCUUUAUAUGUUGUGUGAGUUGGUUGAUUGUAGGACAAGUUGUUAAUCUUUUAUCUUAAUACUUUGCUUUCUUGUCCUCGUCUCUUUUGUUUGUUUGUUGAUUGAGUUUUUGUGAUGGCCAUGUACUUAAGGUCUAUCUUGGUUUAUUGGCCAUCCUAUUCUCUCCACUUUGUUGUGUGAAUAUAAACUGUCAUAUUGCAUACUCUUUCACGGUUAUACUCUUUUUCACACUUGUUGCACCCCACGGAGUGCAAAAUUUAGGGGGAGCUUGUUCUUUGAUGUAUGUUUCUUAAGUGAUGACAAUCACCAUUGAAAUUCAAAUUCAUGCAUACAUCAAGGGGGAGCUCGCUGUAAAUUUUGGACUUCAAAAGCUUUUUGAUUUUCAUUUGUAAGCCUAAACUUGGUUGUCAUCAAGCACCAAAAAGGGGGAGAUUGAAAGUGCAUUUGCCCCCUAUGUGGGUUUUGGUGUAUUGAUGACAUCCAAUUUAGGGACUAAUGCGUUGUAUUUGAGAUUUGCUACAGCUACUAGUCUUAUGAAAGAUGCAAAGGUUCAACCUAAGAUGAAAUGGUAUCCCCCAAUCUUCGUUCGUGAGAAAGGCGUUGGAUUCAAUCUAGAGCUUAUUCGUUUUUAUGUUAACUUGGGGAUAGGUAUGCCGUACUAUCAAGAGAGAUUCAAAGGUUGUUGGUUUGGGGAAGAUAGAGUGCUCAAGUCUUUCAACUAAAUCUUUUUAGAGACACUCUAGCUCCUCUCUUGCACUUAGGAUUAACUUCUGUGACUUCUGGUGUCGGAAGUCCCGACGCGGGUCGGAACUCCCGACGUGCUGCGCGAGAAAUGUGAGCGUCGGAAGUCCCGACGUGAGUCGAAAGUCCCGACGUUGAGUUCUGCGCGCGCACGCGUCGGAAGUCCCGACAAGCGUCGGAAGUCCCGACGCCAGGCCUGUCUCACGCAAGUGCCAGCAGUUCCGGCCAGCGUCAGCAGUACUGACCCGUCGGAAGUUCCGACGCAUGUCGGAAGUUCUGACACUGACUUCCUGCGCUGACCUCGGCUGCCUGCUCAACAGUGUUUCCCAGUGAGUGUCGGAAGUCCCGACACUAUGUCGGAACUUCCGACGUAGAUCUGAGCAGACUUUUCUCCUAGUAGUAUAAAUAGCUUCCUCUGUGUUUCUAACCGUUACCCACUCAUUCUUUGCGACCAACCCUCAGACUAAACAGCUCCCAAGCACCCAAGACUCCUCUCUCCUCCUCCUCUUUGCUCCUAACUUCAAUUCACCUUAGAUUUGGAGUGUUUGGAGAGUGGAUAAGUGAGAGUAACGCCUUGAGAAGUUUGAGCACUUGAUCUCUUCGUCAAGCCGGCAGGUUUUGAGUUUAUUACUCUUGGGUUCUUGGAACCCUAGCCGGCUAGGCGUCGUCCAAGAGCUUCCAUCUUGUGGAAGAGCCUUGGAAAGUUUGUAUCACCCCGUUUUUCUUAGUGGAAAGCUCAAGUGACCUUUGUGGUUACUUUGAGGGAGGCAAGGAGGUGAAAGAGACUCCGACCUUAGUGGUCACCUCAACAACGAGGACGUAGGAACUCCUAAGUGGGGUUGCCGAACCUUGGGUUAAUUCCUUGUGUCUCUUGUGGUUACUUUUCUUAAGUUCUACUUGUAUUUGCUUGUGCCUCUACCUCCUUUUUAGGGUUUGGUCUCGAUCUACGAUUUGGGGAACUCUUGGUGUCAAGGAAGGCUCUCAACAUCCUCUUCUAACCACUAGAGAGUGGUGUUGUAAGUUGUGGAUUUCACAAAGUUCAUUUAAGCUCUUGUAGUUCAUUUCCCGUAGGUGUCGGAACUGCUGACAGUUUGCGUUGGAACUUCUGACAACGUCGGAAGUUCUGACCCAAACUGUCGGGACUUCCGACAGUUGCUGACAAGUGACUUUGAGUUUUGUGUAGAAUUUUUAGAUACGCCUAUUCACCCCCCUCUAGGCAUUGUUUAGAUCCUUUCACCAGGCCAUCCACUAUUGGAAUUCAUCGGCAUAGGCCCUGCCGAUGAUUGGUAAUUAGGCAUCAUCAUUGAAUUGACGUACCCUGGCUAUGUCAUAAACCUCUGCUGCGUCGGCAUUGAGUCUGCCGAUGCGUUAGGCAUCUGGAACAUUGGAACUUGAGAAUUCCCAGUGUAAGGUCUUGCAGUAGUAGUUGUAGUAUACUGGGAACUCUGAUUCAUCGGCAAAUUUAGAGGUGCCGAUGCCAUAGGAGCCUUGCCUCUCGUGUCAGCCAUCUGAGAUGUUCCAGGUGUCUUCAGCAUCAUCUCUGGGGACAUACCAUAACCCCACCAGUUGGGAGGAACCGAUCCCGACAUUGCUGAUGCCAAUAGAUCUGUGGCAAGCUUGAUUUGCUCAUCUGAAGUUGAUGGAUUGAUUGUCAUCGGCAUAGAUUGCACAUCGGUGAGUCCUAAUGUGCUGGGAGGAACCGUAGUUUUUGUGCCCGCAGCGGCUACUGUAGCCGACAGAGCUGUGACAACUGGCGACCCCGGCUGAUGAUGAGAAGGACCAACAUAAUUUGGUGGCAAUUGUCCUUCUUUAAAAGUUCUAGCCAUGGCGUUGAAAACCGUAUUGGACAGCACACCAGCUUGAUUGAUCAAGGCACGGUUAACAGUACUAUCAACCAUGUCUUGAAGUUUACCAGGAUUGGCUUCAAAAGUAACGUGCCGAGGCGUCGGCAGCGCAUCCUUCUAGAUCACCUCGCCACUCCUGUUUAUGCUGAAGGAUUUCAAACAUUGCUGCUUGUAAUCCUCCAUGGCUUUCGCGAUAGCUUGCUUCUGCUCAUCCCUGAGAUUGGCUUCCGUCACGGGGAUGACGUUCUCCAAGUCGAACUCGGUAGUCGACAUAUUGAUCUUGAUCUUGAGAUGGUCCCACCGGGCGUGCCAAAAGAUGUGUUGAUGCAAAAAAGGAUCUGCAAACACACAGGGCUAAUACCCGAUUCAAACGUUAAGGCGUGCCAGCCGAUUUGACCUUACUAUCGGCAAAGGUGAUAACUCGAAUACUUUGGUCCCGACAACAGCGAUGCGCCCGGAUGUCACGGCCAAGAGGUAUUCACGCAGAACUCGAGAAUACGCCGAGCUUAAAUCGACGAACUCCUAAGAACUCGUAAAAAAAGGAAAAUAUGACGAAGUCGUCGAAAAGUAGAUGCUGGAAUAUGAGUAAAAAACUUGUGUUUGAUUAAUUGAUAGAUAUCUCAUUACAAGGCCCUAGGGUCUACAUUUAUACCCUGCUCAAAGAGCUACAAUCAGACACGACUAGGACUCGAAUUCCAAAUUAAACGGAAUCCGUAUACAAAACAAAUUUAAAUAUCUAUGGAAAACAUAAAAGGGAAAAAUGGCUACCGGACAUGCAAAGUGGUGACCAUUGCUGGAAGACACUUUUUCAUGUAACACUCACCACCAAAACAAUUGUCAUUUGUAAACCAUAAGGCCAACGGCUAUGAAAUUUUAACAGCAACAAGAUACGAUAGUUAUCUACAAAUCAUCUAAUACUCACUUCCAUAGAAAAUCUUGUUAAGGACACGAAAUCAUGUCCACCAGCAAAUCAUGGCUGUUAAGGUUGCUGGUGGACAUGAUUUCAUGUCCUUAACAAGAUUUUCUAUGGAAGUGAGUAUUAGAUGAUUUGUAGAUAACUAUCAUAUCUUGUUGCUGUUAAAAUUUCAUAGCCAUUGGCCUUAUGGUUUACAAAUGGCAGCUGUUUUGGUGGUGAGUGUUACAUGAAAAAGUGUCUUUCAGCUAAUGCGUGCCACUUUGCAUGUCCGGUAGCCAAAUGCCCCAACAUAAAACUAUCCUCCCGUGACAAACCGGGACACCACCAUAGAUCAAUCGGCAACCUUCACGUUCUCCUUCCGAGUCAUCGGCAGACUUCUCACCAUAGCCAUCAGCAAAGACUAACGCUGACCAUCGGCACGAACGCGUCACCACUUCUGGACUUAGUCACAUUCAGCUGUCUCUUCAUCGGCAACCACCCUCAUCGGCAACUCCCCUGCAGACCAGUUACUGUUGCCCCAUCUUGCCGAUCUAUACUUUACCGAUCCCUGGGUACGUGUCCAAAAACGGUGUCAACACAUCCUUAGGAGGGAUGUUGUAGCGUAGAUCCCUGUCCUGGUUUACUUCCUGACCACGCCCGCGCCUCUGAUAACCACCCGUGUCCUGACCACAGUAGUCGCGUCCGGCGUCCUUCCUGCGACCGUUGGGGGAGCGGCUAUGACGGCGCCCGCUGGGCCGCGGUGAAGUCCGGCUGCGAUGAAUCUGGUCGGAGGAAAUCUCCGUGUAGGAGACGGCUUGGACCCUUUUGAGCAAAGUGGCUGUUUGUCCCAUCGCGGCGAUCAAAUGCGCUCGUAUACUGGAUCGGACGCCCUGGUACUCUGGGGUAUCGGGGAGUCGGUCUAGGUUUGCCAUGGCAACGACCACGUUAGCGCUUGGCGUCUUGUAGACUGGCUAAUCUCCGACCAUGUCAAAAGCAUCACUGAGGUUGUGUGGCGCAAGUUGUCAAUCUUCAUCGCGCCGCCGAGCACGAUCGGCAUUGCGCUGCUCGCGGAGUUGCUUCUGCUCGUCGGUUUCGCCAUCGACAACCGGUUCGUCGUUGCUGACGUUAAAGAUAAGAUCUCCUCGCCGGGGUGGAAAGACUGGAAAACGAGAAAAACCCGGAGGGUAUGGCGGUAAAUCUAGGUCGUAGUCUUCGUCCUCGGAGUGUAAAACCUCGGUAGGGAAAGACCCUGUGCUGGAGUUCGUACUGGUAGCCUUAUCGUCCGGCAGGACUCGGAUGGAUAGCAUGUUGACGUAAUGGCGAGCUGCUCGGCUGCUCUGCCCCGGCGACAAGCCCACUCUGCUGAAAAGAGAUCAGGUAUGCCGCAAAUACUGGUCGGCCGAGUUGUUUAGACCAUAAGGGCAAUUCUGGUCUUGAGCUGCCUUGAACUUGACAGAUCGUCCCGUGGGGGUCGAUGUUAUUGUUAGGGACGUCUCCAGCUGUUCGUGCGUGGUGACACGAGUUGGCCGAUAGGAGUCGAAAAAGUUUGUUGACGCCGCUUGAUCAGAUUUGCGCGAGAUCAAAUCCACCAGGUUGGAGGCUUCGAGGAGCCUGAGGUCGGCGCGAUCAAGGGCUUGGAGAAGAUCCGAGUUGUCGACCCUCUUUGCCCUAUAACGAGGGAGUGGAGGUCGGGUGCUCGGAGUCGGCGUGAUCGGAGUCGACGCCUCUGGUGCCCCAGAUUGGAUCUGCGUUUCUUCCGAAGUCGUGGUCGUGAGGCCGCCGGCAUGAGUUGUCCACGUGAUCUGGUCGACGGUGAACGUUAGGCCAUCAGCCACGGCCGCGGAAGUUGGAAUGAUGACCAUCUUGUUCGUCGGGAGAGCUGUACGCACACCCCCUACCUGGCGCGCCACUGUCGACGAAAGCUAGUCGGCAGUCUACCUUGGGGUAUACCCACGGUAGUAGUUUAUUGGUAGACGGUGCGCAAGGUACGAACUUGACGGUGACGCAAGACACGGACAGAGUUUUUAUCCAGGUUCGGC
rnacentral:lncRNA from 1 species